AAAAAAAGAUGCCAACGGUGAGAAAACAAAAUGGAAAUUUAGGGCUCUUCCUCUUCCGCGCUAGACUGAAAUUCACAAGAAAGCUCUGAUCUAUCGCAUCCUCGCUGGGAGCUGGGCGCGCUACCCUAACACACUGAUCCAGGGAUGAUCUAAUAAGCGUAGAACUCGACGAGCUCUUCCACCGCGCCAAUUGAAUUGCCAUUGCCGCUGUCUAGCAUCCACAGCAGGUGCUCAAACAUGACGAUCUCGCAGGGGACGAACAGCCCACAAUCUCCGGCGUCUUGCUGCUCGGCGCUGGUGGAAUUGGGCUUGGAUUUGUCGAGCAGGGAUCGAAAGAGGGGCAUCUGGAGGUAGUGCUCGCCAAGAACAUACCGCCGGCGCUCCUUGCCCACGUACACUACGAACGUCCCCUCGUAUGGGAGCUUGUGGCUGAUCAUCUGGUGGUCAUGGGCUUGCUCAUCGUCCAGGCUCGCGAUGGAUUUCUUGUUGCGCGCGAAUCGUUGCCAGGUGCUCACGAUCCUCCUGAUCUUGUUGUGCUUGUGUAUGGCCGACGAAGACGACGACGAAGAAGAGGAGCUGACAAGAGUGGACAUAACUUCUACAAAGAAGAAAGAAACAAACCAAUGUGGUGGUGAUCCAGCUCUGGCAAUCACGAAGAAUCCCUCGAAUCUCUGGGCCGAUUCAAUCCAGAAAGCUUGAAUCGUGGUCAAGAGCGCUAGCGUGGGCGAUUUCCGAUUGUGGAGAAGAUCAUCCACAUCCAAGCGAGGAGCAAAGCACCGGCGACCCAGAAAAUCGCGGGGGAUCUAGCGCAAUUGCCAUGAUAUCUUGGCUAGCAAGGAACUGGAAGAACAGCUCAAAGCUCCUCGCAAUGCCUCUUUUUUGAAGGGAAUGAGACGUGUCCUUAAGCCUUGGCCCUUGCUAAGGACACCAUGUCCCUCAUCCUUGUCAAUGACGGUAGUGAGGUGGUGGUGGUGGUCCUCCAGUUUUGUGGAGGUGGAGACAAAAUAUUUGGAGUCUUGAUCGUCAAUCCUACUCUAGCCUACGCACAUAAAUGUUUCAUGUUCCAUUCAUUAACACUCAACAUUGUAAACUCUGGUUUUUAGUUGUAUUUUUAUAUUUCUUAUUAUAUGGUUAGCUUUAUUAUUAUUAUUAACUCAUUAAUACAAUCAUUUGAUCUAGUCAUGGUCGUGUUGGAACACGUCUCCACAAGUCUUAGAGACGAUCCCACACGGUUUCCGGCAUUGGCAAAAUCAACUCCUCCUCGAAUUGAAUGUUUCAUAUCGCUGGAGAUCGAGUUGGACCCCAUUGGUUUCAAUCUCUUUUUGUAAUACCUGCGCAUGCAUGCUGGAAGUUUCUUCGAAUUGGAUUGAAUCACUUGACCACUGCAUAAAUUAAUGUAUAGCUUGUGAGAGACUCAGCUACGAUUCCUGUCCUAGCAGCUGUUCUUUCGAGUCCAAGAGAAAUUGAUAGAAGCAACAUUAAGAUUGGAUGGAUGUUUGCCACCAAAAAAGUCUCCAAUGGUACAUUGCCAGGUAUUUUGACGAUAUGAGAUACAAGCUUACAUCUUUGAUCAUGGAUUUGUUUUGGAAGAGAAAAUUCAACCAGCGUUGAGCCACUGUGGCUUUUGCCAGCACCAAGGAAGGACAAAGAAAGUGAUAAGUGAGUCCAACCAAGGCAGCCACAAAUAAUAAAUUAGGACCACAUCAAAUGAGAAAAUCCCAUCAGGAAUCAGCCAUGUAUGUGCAACUGCAAGGCUAGUGUAGACAUAUGAUCUGUGCUUUAUUUCAUUGUUGCUGCCUGUUUUUCCCCUGCCACACUUGCCUGUUGGUACUGACUUGGUGGAGUGUAAUAAAAGUAGUGGGAGAGAUGGGAGAAUGAAAUUGAUGUUAUACUCUGCACUUUUGCUUGUCUUUUUGAAAGAAAAGAAAGAGAGAACCUCAGCAAAAACUUCCUCAGAGCCUUGCAUCUGCUGUUUGAGCUUGCAAAAGCUGAUAAUGGGGGAGCACCCUUUCAAUUGGGAUAGAUUUCACAUCCCUGUCACAGUUGGUGGGCUUCUCUAGUUGCACAUUUCACACAGCUAGCUGCACAUACUGGUGUGCAGAUCAAAUGGGACAAGCAACUCCACUGUCUCAGGAGGCCCACAUAGUUGCAGUGUACAGUGCUCUUUUACCUUUCACCUCUCAAGGAUGAAGUGUUUUCUUGCCUUAGCUGCUGCAGUUUUGGAAGUUGGAGUCAGAGAGGGGAGAGGAAGGGUUUGGAAGAAUGCAUACAUGUUCAACCAUACAUGUUAUCCAAUUUGUCUCCAUGCAGAGCUCAAGUUGCUGCUACACAAAAUGUUGGGCAUGUCCAAAAUUCUGUACAGCUUCACUCUCUGUUGAGUCCAAAAUUAUAGCAAGGAUCAGCACAAGAUGAUGAUCCUCGUGGGAAGUUCAGCGACCAAACAAUAAGAAAGUUGACAACCUUUUUCUCAAAAAGAAAUUAUGGUUCCAGGGUGCACAUGAGAGUGUUUUGGAGGUCUGGAAGACACAGUUGGCCACCAACAUUCAGAAUUUCCGCUGCUGCACGUGUGGCAAGGACGAGAACCCUGAUCAAAUGGUGGUGGCCAGAAGAUCGAAACGUACCCACACCUUCACGAUUCGGUUCCAGAGUACAAAACCAAAAAAACAAAAUGGGGAAAAGAAAGGUCAGCCAUGUUUCAUGUAUAGCAGCUUUUUCUCUCUUUUCCUUCUGAGAAGAGCACAUGAAGGCCACAAGGUCUAAGCAUUCUUACUUACAAACUAAACAACCUCUCCGUUUUGCUAAAUCCGCCAUGGAAACCGCCAGCGUUCGAGCAGUGCAAGUUAGCGAGCAGAACGUAUGCUGCUCCAUACCCCGGAUCCAUCCCGAGGAUUUGCCUGGUAGCACCAAGGCCGCCAUGGAUGCUGCUAUGACUCCUUGACGCUCCAAGCAAGCACAUCCAGUCCAAGGCAUCGGCCUCGAAAGGCAUGGUUUCGACGAGCUCCCCCGCCUUGGUAAGGCGCCCGGCACGAGCGAGCAAGUCCACCAUGCAUCGGUAGUGCUGCUUCGAGGGCUGAAUCCCAAAGUCCACGCUCAUCGACUGGAAGUAUGAUCUUCCACUGCCGAGAUCGCCCUGGUGGCUGGAAGCGACCAACACCGACGCGAAGCACGCAUCGUCCGGGGCAAAAACCAUCUUCAUCCCGUGGAAAGUUUCGAAAGUAUGAUUGCAGUGUUGCCUGCUUUGAGCUGACGCUGCAAGCACCGCAUUGCAAGACACUACGUUUCGUUCCGGCAUCUCUUUGAAGAUCUUCCUGGCGUCUUUCACGAGCCCGUGUUGGAUCGCACACGUCCAGGAGACGACGUUCUUUUGUGGCAUGGAGUUGAAAAACUCCUUUCCUUCAAAAAUGCACCCGUUUAGCGUGUACGCAGCAAGCAUGACGUUCCCUGUAACUACAUUCCGCUGAGGAAAUCUAAGGUAGAACUUUCUAGCCUCGUCCACGAGUCCACAGCGUGCAUAAGCUUCCAGCAUAGCGUUCCACGACACCACGUCGUGCUGUGCCAUGUCACAAUCGAACAGCUUCUUAGCCUCCUCCAAAUGUCCAGUUCCGGCAAAUGCCGCUAGCGUGGAAUUCCACGUCACCAGAUCCUUUGCUGACAUGGACUUAAAGAUUCCCAAAGCUCCGUGCAAGUCCUCGACAUUAGCGUAAGCACUAAGCAUAGCGUUGUGCGAGAGUAUAGUAUGAUGUGGCAUGCUAUCGUAUAACUUCUUAGCUUCGUACAGAUCCCCGUUUUGGGCAAAUGCAAAGAGCAUCGUAUUACACGACACUACGUUCCUAUACGGCAUACAUUUGUACAGUAUUUUAGCUUCCUCUAAGUUGAAAGCUUGUAGAAUUGCAGCUAUCAUUGUAUUCCAAAUAAUAAUAUUUACAAAGGGCAAGCUACAAAACAAGAGUCUUGCUGCCUCUAGAUACCGGUGUUGGGCAUAAGCGGCUAGCAAUGCACUCGCUGUGAUUAAAUCCUGCCAAGGCAUACUAUCAUAAACUUGCUUUGUUUGCUCAAAAUCUCCAACUAGCGAGAAGGCACACAGCAUACAAGUAAAUGACACGGUAUCUUUCACAGGCAUCUUACUAAAUAUCACCUUCGCGAGAAGUAUAUGCCCGCUUUGAGCAUAGGCCGAGAGCAGCACAUUCCACGAGAUAAUAUUCCACAUUGGCAUCGACUCAAACAGUGACUCCACUUCUACCACUUGAUCCUUGCGCGCGUAGCCAGUCAAAAUCGUGUUCCACGAGAAUAAAUCCGGGCCGUCUAUCUGUCCAAAUAUCCUGUGGGCCUCGCCCAGAUUCCCUUCCCGGGCAUAUGCCAGGAUCAUCGCAUUGCAGCACACAACGUUGUGAAGCGGCAUCGCGUCGAAAAGAUACGCCGCAUAUUCCACCCUCCCUUCAGUGGCGCAGGCAAAGAUCAUGGUGGUCCAAGAGAAGACGUCUCUACGCGGCAUCGCAUGGAAUAUCCUCUGGCACUCGCAAAGAUUCCCUUGUUGGGCAAAUGCGUCGAGCAUCGCAUUCCAGGCAAUUAGAUUCCAUCGCGGCAUGGAAUCGAAGACCUGCUUGGCUUGCCGCACAAAUCCAUUGCGGGAGUACGCGCAGAGCAUGAGAACCCAAGAGAAAGAAUCCCUCGUCGCGGCAGCCAUGCCGCAAAAGAGCUGGAACGCAAGAUUGGGGCUCCCGCACCGCCCAUACAUCUCGAUCAGCUUGUUACACACGAAGACAUCGCCGAUUAGCGCGGGAUCCAUGCGGGAGUGGAUCAAUCGCGCGUCGCUCAGGCUCCGGCAGCUACGCAUGAGCUCCAGCCAUCGAGUCCUGUCCAUGCCAUUCAAAAUGCCCAAGAACCCUAGUUUAGACGGUGGAGAUUUCACCGCGUGGGACUAGUAUCGCCAAUUGUAUGGCUGCGAUGUAUUUACAGUGUCUUUCCAUGAAGAAUGAGCUCAGUCGCUUCCUUGCUCUGGAUCCACGGAUCAUUGCGCUGGAGGAGGCGGAGGAGGUACUCGAACAGCGCGACCGGGCAGGGGAUGAGAAGCCCGCCGCUGUAAGCGUAGCCAAAUUCUUCCUCGGAUUGCUGGAGCAGCGCCCCAAACACUGGAUGCUGGAGGUAGCGCGUCUUGAGGACGAAGCGCUUGUGCUCCGGGCCGACGUAGACCGCGCAAGAUCCUCGGUGGACGUCGCGCGGGAUCGAAGGAGGCGAUCUCCUGGCGAUAAUCUUCCUGUUCUUCGGCGACGCAGGGGAGGGCAAGGCGCAGCUCCUGGACGACGCCAUUGCGCAAGAGAGGCGCUCGAAUUUGUGGCACAGCCGCUUCAAGAGAUUGGUGUGGUGAUGGUGAUGAUCGUCCUGGUGGAGCUUGUGGUAGCGCGAGUGAUAAUGCCGCCGGAAGAGUAGCGCCUUGAGCUUGAUCUUCUUGAGCAUCUUCAUCCUCUCCCUGGAGAGAAAUAUCGAUCCUGCUCCUCCCCCUAGAAAUAUUUCGUCGCCAUCGCGGCUCCUCUUACCCUUCCCUCUCGAUUCGGCACGAUUUCCUCUCGAUUCCUUGCGGGAAAUCGGAGGCCGUGCUAGAACGCGCGUGAAUCGACCCCAGGCACCUUGAGGAGGCCGCCAAACCAGAGAAGCACCGACAGGAUCCGGAGCGACCACAGCAGCCAAGAUCUCUGGAAGAAGCACAAGAUCACAGGGUCCAUGAAAUGGAAGAAGCUAGAGAAUCUAGAGCGAGCGAUUGAAAUGCGAGCGAUCGCGACAAGGCACAGCAGAGAUUCUCACGGGGAGUGGAGAGGGAAGGAGAGAAGCUGGAAGAACAACGCCAUGAUCGAAGCUCUUGCUUGCUCUUUCCAAGAAAUAGGGCAAACCCGGGUUUAAAUUGGCGUGCGCCGGACUCGAACAGGGGACCGUUUCAUGCAAACCCGGUCAAAAGGGGCGUUGCAUCGUAUGAAGCGGCGCGUUGAAAAACGUGUUAGUUGUGGGUUCCUCUUUCGGGACGAACUUGUUUGAUUAAAAUUCCCCAAGGUUUAGUUCGCAUGGAUUCAUAGUUAAGUGAUAUAUCAUACAUUGUGUUAGAUCAACUCGAUUCUAUAAGGUUAUAGAUCUUCUCAAAGCCAGAGCUCCCAGAGACAGUGAAGGACCAUUGAGAGAGUGAGUGACACGGUUGAUCCAUCCACGCACGAAGGCAACUUUUGAGCUGAAGAAAAGAAGAAAACGACCACUUGCGACCAAAUUAAAAUAUAAAAUAAAUGAAGAAUAAAAGCCAACAAUAAUAUAACAUUAAAAAAACAGUGUUAAAAAUAAUAUUUUGGCUGCGGUCGACCAACACCACCACGAUUUCGAGGAUAUUUGGUUUUCCCAUUGCAGCAAAAGGACUACAAAGUACAGUGGUACAAACAAUAUAUGUUUUGUUUCCUUAGAAGCUUUGGUGGACCUUUGGAUUCCCGCCACUCCUUUUCAAUCAAUCGACAUAGCUUAGCUUGUGCUCGGCCGGGCCGCUGGCAAGUUUUUAAAGUUGAAAAGCAAGAUCAAAAGGGACCUGUCACAUAGGGGCGCACGAUAGAUCGAGACGAGCACGAGAAAAGUGAUAGAAAACUCUGUGACAAUAGUACCUGGAGGAGAGCUCGAAUUCUAAGUAGAUUUUGCCGCUGGCCAAAGUGGAUUCUCUAGCAAGUGUGAUGAGGCUUGGACACUCCUUACCACCACCUUGCAAUCGGCAUCAACUGUGUAGGAGAUCUUCAGGCCCUCGAGAAUCACAUUGUAAAGCACGAGCUUUUCAUCCCCUCCUCCAUUAUGGAGCUCGGAAGAAUCGCCAUAGAGUGGCUGCGCGAUCUCGCUGACCACUCCAUCGUGCGGCCUCUGCCGCUGGCUCAAGGAGCGAAUAUCGCGAGAGAGAACCUGCGCUAUGAAAUCAUGUAGCUCUCUGGAACUGGAAUAGAGUGAGAACCUUUCCUGCCGUUUUCCAACAGGAGACGCUUGUCAACGACAAAGCAAACAAAAGAAGGAAAGAUAACUGCAAAGUGGUUUGCGUAAGGACUACGAGUGCGUACCAUUUUGUUCCAGCACUCAUCGAGGCCAUUUAGAGAAGCUUCAGUGAAGGUGACGGAAGCCACGGCGAGUGGAUCGUCCUCUCCGCCGGCCUGGAACAAAAGAGAGAAAAGAUAAAAUCUUGACAAUCUUUCGCAAGUGAUCACAGAAUAAAAUCGGGAAAUCUUUGGCUCUUACAUUGACCCACGUUGGUGCCGAAGCUUCUCUCACGGAAUCGCAAUAUGGAAGAUAAGGCUUUAUGUCAAUCACGGGCUACAACAUCACAAAUACGACAAGCACCAUAAAACUUGGGUAGAAAAGGAGGUCGAAGAAUAGUAUACCGUGCCAUCAACGAGAUCAGCUCCGGAAAGCAUUAGAAUUCCAUGCUCCAGACGUUCCACCUGAAGAACAAAUUUUUAAGAUCAAACACGACAAGAAUUUCAGGGAAAAAGAUAGAGACCUUUGCAACUGUUAAGCCGAUAGGACACGGUCGAUGUGGAGUUCUAGUCGCAAAAACUCCGAGCUUGGCACCAUUGAGCCUUGGCACUCGUACCUUUUACGCAAAGGAACUAGCUUAGCGCUGGAAAUACAAAGAAUGUGUUUUGUCACCUUAGCCUUGAAGUCUCGAUGGCUCGAUAGCUCCCACAAGUUGUGUAAGUCUGUGUUCUCGUGAAAAACGUAGAUUAACCAGCAGUGUGAGUACUGCUCAAUCCCGUCCAGGGCCGCGGCAGGCACCCCGGAGGACAAAACCAAGCGCGAUUUAGCAAGUGUUACGAGGAGAGGUUGACGAGGAGUUCCAUUUCUUCACAAAAAAAGAGAGAAAAACUUUUGUUCUCAAAUAGAACUUAGAUAGAGUUUUGAGUACCUUGUUGAAUAACAUGAUCUCAUAUACCCGAUUGGUGUCAUGGGAAAGGACGAUGUGGGAGUUUUUCCAAUGACAUUGCAUUGCAUCAAGUUUUUUCGCAAGUCCUGAGGAAUGGUCAAAAGAUUAGAAAGGAAAACAAAAGGAAAGGAACGAAAAUACUCACACGCUGUGCACGAAUUCGGCCCGUUCUUUCUUCGGCUCUUUGCUUCUGGGAUAUUUGCAAAGCGUCGUCUGAUUCAACGAGCUUGAGCUCCAGUUUGACACACUUUCUUUUCAAUCUCCAAACUAUAUGAUAUGAUCACACCAGAGAACGAAAUUUAAUCCUUUAGACACCCAUCUUCCAAAAGAAUUCGCGUACCUUGAAUAAGCAAAGCUGUCGCAGUGGAAACUGAAACCACCGCUAUAGCCCAUCUCAUCAUUUCCGUGGCCUAGAGCUUAGGGUUCUAGCCUUUCUCGUGUCACUAACGUUGACUUAUGCGUUGACUAGUUGACUUUUCAGCCAGCUACUGCCCGAUCGAAGCGUUCGCAGCUCGCCAUCUAAAAUGGCCUUGGCCAUUUCUCGUCGCGGUUCGUGCACAAUGCCGUGGACAUCUCCUGCCUACAAGGAAAACAGUGAUUGGAUUUUAGCAAAGCUUUGCGAGAAAACUUUACCAAGUCCGCUGCUACAUAUUUCUCGAUAAGAUUGUCGAGCUGGGAGAGGAUUUCUAGUAGAGCACAUCGAUCUUUGUGUUGGUUAUCUUGAUCCCAGGAAAAAUUGCCGCUCCCAGCGGAGCUCGCGUCCAGUCGCUCAAGUUCUGCCGAGAAAACUUGAAUUAGUAGCAAAAGGAAGAACAGUACCUUCGGGGGUUUUUGCGCAAAGAACUCGAGCAAAACUGCGAAGGCCGGGUGGAAUUCCAUUCGGAUUUGAGUUCAUAUCCCUGAAGAAACAAGAACAAAAGACAAAAGUGGGACUCCGUAAGAAGAUGCUCUUACUGGAUGACAAAAGCUUUUCCCAUACUGCCAUCUUCUUCCUCUGUUAUUUUGAUCUUGUUCCUGGAGAAGACGUCAAGUUUUGCGUCGUAGAGCGGAUCGUCUGGGGAGAUGGUCACCCAGAUUUCCGCCUGCGAGCAAAGUUUUAAGUGGCAAGAUGACAGUUGGUGUGAAGUUUUACCUCGUCAAAGGGAUUGUAAGAAAGAGCGAAUCCAUAGUCCACAGCCAGUGUAACAUUUGGAAGCUGGCCAUAGCUGAUGAACACCUAUACUUGAGAUUAAUUUCGGGACAACAGUGAUGCAAAGUAAUCUUACUUCAUCACCAGUAGCGUAAUCUCGAUCUGCUAUAACCUGAAAGAUGCAAGGGUUAGUACAUUGCUUUCAGAGAAAAAGGCGAAGGAACCAUACUACGACGCAGUUUUUAUCGGGGUCAUGCGAAAGAAUAGACUCGCACUUCCAGUCGUGAUUGAUGAGAUCAACGUAAGGAACCUGGUAAAAAAUUCCAUAGAUGAGAAAGUGAAACUCUAUCGAAUGAGAUCACCAUUCCCAGCUCGCAGAUGUCCGUCACUCGCCAAGAGCGCGUCGCCACUGUAAAAAACUUGCUCGAGAAAUCAAGAAGAAAAAAAUUUACGUACCUAUCGAGUAUGCGUGCUUGAAGGCAUCGUAAGACGCAGUUUCUCCAAAGAUAUGGCGACAACGAGAGAUUGCCUGCGAGAAAAAACAUAAAAAUCCACGAAUUUGAGUUAGCACCGAAAGAAGAUGAUCCAUUUGUGAUACAAACACUCUGGACGUCCGAAAAUUCCAUAUCCAGCCACCUCUCGCGUUGCGUAGUCUUGAAAUAAACCGGACUGUGCCUCACACAUUGAAGCUCUUCCUGCUUCCAAAACACCUGGAGCGCUACAAAACUAAGAACACGAGGAAGAAGAAAAUGGUAGACUUAACUGUGUUGUUUAGUUCAACCAGCGAGGGAAGAAUUCCCAUGUAAGGAUCCCAGGCUGAGUUCUAGGAUAGUUUCUUAGCUCUCGACUUUGCGAUGAAUGAAGAACACUAGUACCUGGCCUUUGUUCCACUGGGCGAGGAUGAAAAGAGCCAGCCGCGACCAUUCUGUGGCCUGCGCAGGCAAGAAUCUCGCGACUUCGUGUUGCAGGCUUCGAGAAGUGAUCAUCUGCCAAAGGAGGUAAGCAAUGCACAUGUGUAGAACAAGCGAGCAUCUUACAAGACUAGGUGGAACUUCCAGCAUGCGCUCUCCAGCUCGAAUUGGACGAGACGCAAACAUUCCACUGCAAAGCAUUGAUCUUGCUAUCAAAUGGGGCAAAGAAAAACGAGUGAAAGAUCGCGAUGCUCUCACCGCCCGGAAGAACAAGCGCCAAUCGAGAGCGCCGAUUGCUGCGCAUUGCUUAGGGCGCCUUGCGUCCUCAGCCACGAGAGGAAAUGGCUCGUCUUCGAGCCAAGCGCCUUUGAAUCGAGCAUUCCUUGCUCACAACCCUCAGAUCCUCCGUCAUCCACCGGCUCAAAAGCAGACACGUGGAACGAUCUUACGGUCGGAAUCCACCCUAUCCAACGGCCGCAGGGGUUUUAGAUCCGACGGCUAGAGCUCCAGUGAAGGCAUUAGGGUUUUACGAUCUUUAGGGUUCUUGGAGGGCGGCCGCAAAAUGGCGGAGAGGGGAGGAGGAGGAGGAGGCGAGCAGCGCGAGCGCGGUGGAUUUGGCCGGGGCUUCGGCGGUCGCGGCAGGGAUCGCGGCCGUGGCGAUCGCGGCCGCGGCCGGCGCUCGAGGCGCGCGGACGAGGAGGAGAAAUGGGUGCCGGUGACCAAGCUCGGCCGCCUCGUCAAGGACGGUAAGAUCAGGAGCCUCGAGCAGAUCUAUCUCUUCUCCCUCCCCAUCAAGGAGCACCAGAUCGUCGAGUUCUUCCUCGGUAGCGCGCUCAAGGACGAGGUGAUGAAGAUCAUGCCAGUGCAAAAGCAGACGCGCGCCGGGCAGAGGACGCGAUUCAAGGCCUUCGUGGUGGUGGGAGACAACAAUGGCCACGUUGGUCUGGGCGUCAAGUGCAGCAAGGAGGUGGCGACCGCGAUCCGAGGCGCGAUCAUCCUCGCCAAGCUCGCGGUGAUCCCAGUGAGGCGAGGCUACUGGGGAAACAAGAUCGGCAAGCCACACACCGUCCCGUGCAAGGUCACUGGGAAAUGCGGCUCGGUGACUGUCCGGAUGGUGCCAGCGCCCCGAGGAGCUGGGAUCGUUGCCGCUCGCGUCCCCAAGAAGGUGCUCCAGUUUGCCGGGAUCGAGGAUGUUUUCACCUCGUCGCGCGGAUCGACCAAGACACUCGGCAACUUCGUCAAGGUGAGGAUUGGUCUGAUCGUUCUUUCAUUCUCGACGAGUUUUUCUUGGUCUUUCGCAGGCUACGUACGACUGUCUGUUGAAGACGUAUGGGUUCCUCACCCCGGAUCUGUGGAAGGAGACCCGGUUUACCAAGUCGCCGUUCCAGGAGUUCACGGACUACCUGUCCAAGCCUACCAAGUUGGUGAUCGAGGACGUCGAGAAGGCCCCGGUGUACUGAGUAGCACUACUACUAUUCCCUGUUUCAUCUUUUUGGAGCUUGAAUACCAAAGUUUUUGAUUUGCUCAGUGAUAUCGAGUAAGAUGAUCUUCUAGACAAGCUGCCAGACACGAAGAAAGAGAGAUCAGAGUUUUAGAUCGAGCUCAUGUUCUUUCUUACAUCGAGAACUGGAAAGCCUGGAGUUUUCUCGUAAGCGUUUGGGAGAAGUUGGAUCAUCCGGCGAGAGGAUUCGAGUGCAUGGUGACUCUGUUUAGCCUGAUCUCCGCCAAGGGACGAUCUCCAGCACCCGUUUGUGUCUGUAGCGAAGAAACUGUAAGACCACUAUCGAUCGAAAGCAAGAAAAGUGUGUUAACCUUCUCCAUGAGGUCGAGAACUUCGAAGCCAUGGAUGACUUUGCCAAAGACGGUGUAGAGGCCGUUUAAGUGGGGCUGCUUGGCAUACGUGACGAAGAACUGGCUCCCAUUCGUGUUUGGUCCGCUGUUGGCCAUGGCAAGGAUUCCUCUCGCGUUGUGCUGAUACAAGAAAGAGAGUAAGAACAAUCGCUCAGCUCAAUCUUAUCAUCCAAGGAGAAGAAGAAAGAAAGAAAGAAGAAAAUUUUCUACCUUGAGAGACUCGCGAAUCUCAUCGUUAAACUUGCGACCCCAAAUGCUGGUACCUCCGCGCCCAGUUCCAGUGGGAUCGCCUCCUUGGAUCAUGAAUCCUUUGAUGUUGCGGUGGAAGAUUGUGCCGUCGUAGUAGCCGCUCGCGCACAGCGCCAGGAAAUUCUACAUCUCCAACAUGAAAAUCUUUCAGUCUCUCUCGCGCUCUCUCUUCUAAGAUUUUACCUCGGCUGUCUUUGGGACCUCGUCGCAGAAGAUCUCGCACUUGAUAUCUCCCAGAUUGGUGUGCAAUGUGAUCGACUACAAUGAAACAACAAGAUUUCAGCUCCAAUCGCAGCAGAGACUCUGCUCACCAUCGUCUCCCUCCCAAGAACCCUAGACUUGGGUUUUAAGUUAAUUCUUUUACACAAAGCUCUUUAAACUUUAAAGACUAUGUUGUGGCUUUCUCUCGCAAAUAGCUUUCCCAGCCCAUGGCUUCCAAUCUCUCUGCCUUCUCGAUCACCUUCCUUUCUAGCUCCUCUUUGUAGGAUAUCAUCCUGGAAGAGAAGAAACGAGAUCGUUUUAAUGGGUGAAACCAUUGCAAACUCACUUGUCAAGCAUUCUCGGGUCCCAAACUUGCAAGAACCUCGCAGCUAAAAUCCCUGCGUUUGCUCCAUUGUCCACUGCAACCCACGCAACCGGCUCUGGCUACGAUCACACAAAGUGACAGUUGGUCGAGAGCGCAUUGAUUCUUUCAGCUGAACUGGCAACUUACUUGCACAGCGAUUGGAAGUUCGAUUCCAUGCUUCGAUGAGCCUUUGCUGGUCGGAACCCCGAUCACUGGAAGUGGCGUGGCACCGGCAACAAUGCCUGCGAAAACAACGAAAAUAUAAGCAUACGAGUAGAAGAUCACCAGGGACUGACCAGGUAACUCGGAGUAGCCGAUCGAUACGACAACGAGAACUUUGAGACCUUUCGCGUGAGCAUCUCUCACAUAGUUGCUGGAUACUGCUACGAUCUAACCACGCACAAGAAUAGAGUUAAUGCUUCCAUCAUAUAUAACAAAACGAUAUUUAAUACCUCACAAGGCACACCAAACGAUUCCAGCGCUGCGGCAGCAGCCUUCUCGGGAGUCCCCGCGCAAGUCGUCAAGAUUCCCACGACAGGAGGAGCAGCUGCGGAGUUACAUUCGCUCGGUAGUCAAUCGUAGAAUUAAUCACAGUACCAGAUUCCUUUGCAUUGUACUGCUUUGUGAUGUCGCUGCCAACAAACGCUUCCAGCUUUUCCAGACACUGCGAUCUCCUCUCUUCUCCUUGGUGUGCGAUAACCCUGUACAAAAACAACGUUUGGAAAAACCAAGAGAACGGAAACACCUCGACGUACUUCGAUUGGAGGUGUUCGUCGGAAGUAGCCAGUAUCCUCACGGCCAGAAGUCCUGCGUUCUCUGCAUCAUCGACGGCUACAGUAGCAACAGGAAUUCCCGUUGGCAUCUGCCGUGAAAAGAAUUGCCUUCUCUUUCUAACUGCGAAAGGCAAAUGGUUUACCUGAGCAAUCGACAAGAAGGAAUCCAGUCCUCUUAAUGCUGUGACAUCGACCGGAACACCGAUAGCUGGGAGAGGCGUAAUGCUGCCAACCAUUCCUGAACCAAACCUCGAAAAGUCGAGAGAGAAAACAGAAGAAAAAAUUCUACAAAAAGAAUUGACUAACCGGGAAGGUGCGCAGCACCACCAGCUCCAGCGAUAAUCACAUUGAGAUUGUCAAGGUGAGCAUUCGAUGCGUAGCUAUACAUUCGUUCCGCGGUCCUGUGAGCCGAGACAAUCGUCAUCUACGCACAAACGACUUAGCUAGAAAAACGGCAUACUAAUUCACAGACCUGGUACUUUACACCAAAAAGAUCAAGAAGUUUUCCGGCGUGUCUCAUGGUAGAAAGAUCUGAAUCCGAACCCAUGAUAAUUCCCACUGCCGGUUUUUCUAGCUUUGAGAAAACUAUAUAUUAAGUGAAACAGGGAAACGAAAACAAAAAACCGAUGUUACCUGUCGGAUGUUUGCAUUCAGCUUCUGAACCAUCCGUGAUUUGACGCAUUCUUUGUUUCACGGUGGCCAUCGAUGGCCCCACAACUGUGACAUGACCCAUUUUUCGUUGUCUCCGAAACUCUACGCUCAGUGUGAAGCCUAAGUCGCACUACUCAAUAAUGAUAGCAAACCUCGCUUGUGGUACCAAUGUACACUAGCACCUGGAAUGCUAAAUGCCUUGUUCAUUAUCUUUUGUGCGAUAGAUGCACCGAGCUCACCCUGAAUGCUCGCAAACAAUGAGCUACAACACGAAGAAAUAAGAACGUUACCUCUUCAGCCAAAAUGUUAUACAUUCCUGCUGCUGAAACUUUCAUGGAAGUGUCACCGAGUGGCAAGCCUAGGACAGCACGAAGGUGCUGUUCAAACUGCGAAACGUAGCAUGCUUCGAUAGUAAGAUGGCCACUGUUAUGCGGUCGUGGUGCAACCUCAUUCAGCAAAAUCUACAAGAAAAGUUAGAAACAAUCAAGAGGCAAAAAAUGUAUACCAGAUUAUCAGAAGCCAAAAACUGCUCGACGCAAAAAAACUCCAGCGCCACCAAAUGAAGCGACAGCUUUUGCUGCUAGGUCCAGUGCUGUCUUCUCGGCAGCUUUCGGAAUCAGGGCCGGUGAUAGCACUGUAUGGCAGAUGCUCCUCCUGGACGAAUCAGAGAAGUUCUGAAUACAAAGGAAAACGAGUAAGCUAGCCUUGCCUUUGAGUAGUCUCCACCAGUUGAUAGCACCGUGUUGUUCCAUCUAUGCCACGGGCAACCAUCACUGCUAGUUCCUAAAAGAAUGGAUCAGGCAAACGCAGAAAAACUACAAACCUUCUCAAAAGACACCCACUUCUCCGCAAACAGACCUUGCUCAAAACCUCCCAAUGCUGCGGUGACAAGAGAAGAACCACUUAGCGAGCAGUGAACACGGAAGGGCUAUCUUACCUUUCACAGACGGAAGCAAGUCACUUCUGCUUCUCACUGCGAUGUUCCCGCGGCCAUCGUAAGCAAACCGGCGGCAUUUUAGCAUGAACGGGUAUCCCAGAACAGAAGCUGCAUCCUCCAAGCUUUCUAAGCCAGUAACCUGUGAACUAAUGUCGAUCAAACAUUUCAAAACUGUAGAGCUCUAGACAAACCUCCACGAACUCAGGAACUGGAACACCAUACUUUAUAAAAUGCAGCUUCUGGCGAUACUUGUCCUGCAAGAAGGAAACAACGAUUACCUACAUUUGCUCGGAAACUGCUAACCUGAAUCGUCUUAAUAGUACUCGAGCUCGGUUCCACGCGAACUCCCUGCUUUUCAAGCUCGUCAAGUGUUCCCGCAUCAACAUGCUCUAUCUCCAUAGUCACGACUUCACACCUGAAAUGACGAAACGAAGUUUAGCAACGAAAGAACAAGAAAAGCUGGUAUACGCUUUGGCGAACUCCAAAACAGCAUAUCUAUCGUCAAACUCCGCAACAACAUGACGAUGAGCAAGAGCACUGGCAGGACAAAUCGCCGAAGGGUCCAGAACCGCGACUUUGACACCCAUCGCCGAGCCAGCUUCGCACAGCAUUCGGCCCAAUUGCCCCCCUCCCAGGACUCCCACCACAGCAUCGUCUAGCCAAAACCUCCUGCCAGAGCAAAUUCUUCUUCUAGAACGAAAGAAAGACUAAGAGGAUUUACCCCGAUGAAAGCUGCUGCUGCUGUAAAGCCGCUUCGUUCAGCGCUCUCGCAAAGGAGAUCCGAGCGGCAGUGCUCGCCUCGCCGAUCCGGAGACGGCAUUGGUUUGCAAAGCAUCGAGAAUGCGGCGGCACGGCUGGCGCUGCCAUGAGCUAGAACCCUAAUUUCACUUCUAGGGUUUUAGGGAACCGUUACCUUCGCUUGAGGAGUGGACACACAAAACGAGGAAACUAACUGAUACAAUGACUGCUCUCCCUAUCAAAGCUAUCACUCCGGCACGAACAGAUCGGUCACUGCGACGAGAAGUGGGCGAUCGAAGCCGAGACCGCCUUCUCCUUCCUGGCAUCGCUUGUGCCCGACGGUGCUCGACUUGGGCACGAUGAUGCGUAGAAUUCCCUUCCCGGCCUGCGCGGUGACGCCCUCGGUGCAUGCAUUGCGCGGGAGAGCAAAGCGGAGCUCGAAGAGCCAGUUGAGAGCCGAGCCGGGGAGCUCGAGCGCUCGGGGGACCGCGGCGCUGUAGCGAGCUCGGACGCUGAUAAAGCCGUGCUGCACCACGACCUCGAGCUCCUCCUUCUCGAACCCGCCCGCGACGGCGCGGAUUUGCACGGCCUCUGCCUCGCGGAAGUACUGCCGCACGAACAGAUUCUUGCGGGGGCGCAGCUCGCCGGUGAGAUCGAUCACCAUCCAGCUCACCCAACCGCCGCUCCCGUCGUCGUCGUCGUCGUCGCCAACUGCGCGCACAGAUCGAGCAAAGGAUUAGCGGAGGAGGAAGAAAGAAAGAAGAAAGAGAUAGAGACAAGGGAAGUCGAUCGGAUCGGCGAGCGCGGAUGGAGGAACUAGAGCUCGCGAGCCGCUGCGCUUGAUCUUGAUUCUCGGACUGAGCUCCUCCUUGCGCACCCCUGGCGCCUUGACAAAGCCAGCGCCUUUGGCUGCCGCGGUGGUCGCCGCCAUCGCCAUCGCAGAGACGCCGCGAAAAACACCGGCAUUCCCCAGCAAACGAUCCAUCCCACCUCGCCAGAAACAUGGAAUGAUGGAUGCUUAAAUACGUACUACUGGCGAUACGGUCGUGAAGCGAGACAUGCUAGCAUAUUCCGUUCCGGCAGUGGUGCUAUUGUAUAUUCUACUAGGUAAAUAAAACUCAUAUAAAAUUUUGCAAAACUUCGUUUGUAAAGAAUUUAAGAUGAACCUUCCAUAAAUUCAAGCUUUCUAAGCCAGUAACCUGAGAACUAUCGUGAGCGAUUCAACAUAUCAAAAUUGUAGAAUUCUAGACAAACCUCCACGAACUCAAGAACUGACGAUUUUGUCCUGGAAGAAGGAGACGAAGAUGAGAACCGCUAAUCUGAAUUGUCUAAAUUGUGGUAACUCCCUGCUUUUCAAGCUCGCCAAGUAUUUCCGCAUCAACAUACUAACAUAGGUUUAAGAUUUUGCUUCCAGAAGUUCUCGACGGCGCGAACCUCAAAAGUCAGCUUUAUAUUCAGAAAAAAUCACUCAAACACGAGACCUUGUAGCCGCUCUUUUUUUGCAAAGCUUUGGUGGAAUGACUCAUGCUGUAGAUGUAGAGCGGCUGCUUGCUCGAAAAUCCUCGCUUCCAAAGCAAAAAGACGCUAGAAACUCUUACACUAUGGUAGAACCGCGCCCAGAUUUCUCCAGGGCGAGAGAGGAAUCUCGAUCGAGGAGGAAACGAGGAAGCACGAAGAAGAAGGGGAGGGUGGCAAUUCUUCUUUCUUCUUGAGAUAGGGUUUAGGGCUUCUUGCCAUGGGGGGACUGCCCGUUUAGAAGACCGCAGCACACUGGAGGUGGUGAACCACGUGUUCGCGGGCUCGGAUCCCGAAGAAAAGCAAAGAAUUGUGGAGGUGCUGCAUUGUGUCGGUGUCCGUUUUGGCAGGGACAUUGCUCGCCCCCUUGACGAGCCAGAGGAAGUGCGCAAGGUACUUGGACGCCCUCUUUCGAGCUCCAUCGCCAAGCCGCUGAUAGCUCACAAGCUGCUCAAUCAAUGUAAGUAGCUUCUAUGAUUCCACUAAUAACUGCCUAGUAUCUUACUUGUCCCUUUGGCAGUGUCGCCUGGGAAACAAUGCGUACGUGCGCUUGAUCUUGAUCGCAAGGAGGACAGGCAAUCUAAGAUCACUGGGCUCGUGAUUAGACAAAUGUUCAAGGGAGUUACGGUUCCCAAGCACAUCUACAAGCCUUUGUUAUUGCCCCUGAUUGAUGGAGUGGACCAAACCUUUGAUAAUUCAGAUGAUGCUUACGAUGCAUACGAAGCCAUGGUGGAGAAAAUGAAGCAACGUCUUGGCACUGCUGUGACAUUCGACAAGGUGGAUGUUAAGAGGCCGGACGAACCAUGUGACAACGAUUCCGAAGUCUUCCGCUUUUGUUCCCAAGAAGCCAAGUUGUUAUGGGUGAUGAGAGCCGGCUCUGAGAACACUGCAUGCGUCGGGGCACUCAUGUACGAUUAUGGACCAGGUUUUCAGCUCAGAAGCUUUGCGAUCGGCGUGGUUCUGAUCCAGGAUUUCAUCUGGGUGUUCAAGUUCAUUCCGGAGAGCUUUGAUCCCGUGGCAUGUCUCUACGUGUUGCUCCGGGAGGGUGGACUGAAGAUGCUCACCAAGCUCAUGUGCGCCCAGCCGGGUCUACUUGGAGUUCUCUGAACCUUCAUCGUGUUCUUUGCUUGAUGCUUCUGAAGCAACAAAACAUAUGGAGUUUUAUAGUUAGUCCAUUGUGUUUAGAUUUAUCCUCAACUAAAGAUAUAUUACAUUUGUCAACUGAUUUUCGUCAACUUUCAUUUCUUGGAUUAUAUAAAGGCCUUCCACAAAGAAAUUCUCUUCUAGCUAUCAUUGUGAUUGUUUUUGCUUGUACUUUUGUAAAUGUGCAUUUAGAUAGAACAUGGAAUACUUUGCUGCUAAUUGCUAAAUACCAUGCCAAAUGCCAAAACAUUAACCACACUGAAGAGAACACAAGCAACUCAAGUGUUUAUACUUUGCAUCAUGAGUUAAGGCAUAGUGAUUGAUCUUCUUAUUUUUUCUCCAUCUUCUUGUUCUCAAAUGCAAAAGAGGAUUUCCAUUUGUCCUAUUUUGGCUGGUUUGAUAGAUCGAAUGAGGUUUCCGUCCAGCAAGCGAUUUGGUAGGCGCCGAAUAUUUGGGUUUGGCACGCAACUUAUUUUUGUCAGCCCGGAACAAGCGCAGAUAGAUGCCAGAUUUGAAAUUCCAUUUUUUCAUUGAUCAUGGUCGCCUCGACUCACAUAAUGGUGUUUUGUGUUUCCGCCCGUUCUUCCUGCUUCUUUAAGUAGGUAUUGGAUAAGUGUGGUUUCAUUCCCUGUUCCUCACAUCGAUUGGCGCAAGGCUCAAAAACAUGCUCAAUGCAUUCUCUUGGAAAAAGAAGGCCAUGGCAGAGGUGUGCCUUGGUGUCCUGGGAGUCCUUGAGACAGAUAAGGUGGUGCCGUGGUAAUAUUCCAUUCUCAAAUAAAAUUUGAGAACUUAUUCAACUUAGAUUUGAGAUUUGUAGGCCCGAGCCUAGGGCGGGCCUUCCAGAAAUUCUCGACGGCCUCCCUAAGGAGACACGAAGAGGGGGUUUGGAAAUAGUUUUCAACCAGCAAUUGACGCGUCUCGGUAAAACCUCAUAAACUGCGUCAUUGCCCCAAGCGCAAAGAUAAAACAAACCUCCAUCCUAGCUUGGUUUAUAUACCCGCGGAGUGGCACGAUUUCAGUCCUUGGCUCGUGAAAUGGGGCUGGCUGGCGCAGCAUAUUCCUAGAAGUCAAGGUCACGAGACCUUUGUAGCCGCUCUUUUUUUCUGCUGUUAUGUGGAAACCAGGAGACUUGCAAUAAAGCAAGCAGCUGAUGACAGUCCGAACCGGACUGACCGACACUGAGCGAACAAAUCAUGGGCUUCUUUCAAAAUUCUUGGCGCAUGAAUGCAUUUUUCAUGAUUCUACUGUUUGUCAUUUUAUAUCAACUCUAUAGUUUAUAUAAACCUUCAUUUAUAAACCCCUUGCACAAGAAUUGUUAUGGAAUUUGGGCAAUCCCUUCUAGCUCAUUGUGAUUGAUUUUGCUUGUACUUCUACAAAGACAUACUCUUACAGCAUUGAAAUGCCUAGGAACAUUUCAUACUGGACUAUAGAAGAGUUUUCUAGGUUUGCAUCUUUCUUUCUUCUUGUUACUAAUUGAAAAUUGUAUAGUGCUUGAGUUGGACCAGAUCUUAUGAUUGCUCUCAAGAAGCAAUAUUCCCCAUGUAACCCAUAAAAUGGUCUGGGCAUAUGCCACAUGACAGUCGUGGCCAGUAACACACCAUGCUCAAAAUAUAUCUGAAUAAAAAAGUUUUGAAGUGUCAUAACAAAAAGGAGAAAAAAAAAUUAAAGACAAAACAAUGGAAUUUAUAAUAAAAGUAAAAGAUAAACCUCUUACUUUAAAGAAAGAAAAGUUUAACACAAUUUUUUCUAACAAAAAGUCAAGGCUCUAAAAGUUAAUUAAAAGCAAAGACUUUUGGCCUCUUCAGAAAGAGAAUAUUGCUUAAAACUUCACUGACCACAUUUAAUUUUUUCUAGGGACUCCAAGUGCACAUAUGCUACAUUGGCAUUGCCAAUUGCAAAGGAAGUAGGGGGGGUGCAGGUGAUCGGGGGAAGGGGCUACUGACUACUACCACCCAGGGUUUAGGGGUGCAGAAACACAAGCAACUCGAGUGUCUAUACUUUGCUUCAUGAGUUCAAGCACAGUGAUUGUUUUUCUUAUUUCUUUCUUCAUCUUCUCAUUCUCAAAUGCAAGAGAGGACUCAUCUGUGCUUUUGAGCUUCAAAAACUCCGUGGAAGAUCCAUCUAAAACUUUAUCCAGCUGGAAUAUAAGUGAUAACUUCUGCCAGCACUGGAAUGGCGUAGCCUGCACGACAAAAGGCCGAGUUUCCGUUCUUGAGCUUGAGCAUUUAACGUUACCGGGCUCGCUCUUGGUUUCCACAAUCAAUGCUCUACCUUUCUUACUGGAGCUAUCUGUCUUGGGAAGCAACUUCACUGAUGCCAUGAAUUCCUCUGAACAUGCCUGCUCACUUGAGAUGAUCAAGCUGUCAAGUAACCAAAACAUGACCUUCACGAGCAGUUUUGAUGCUAUGCUCGGCUGCCAAGGUCUAAAGGUUCUCAAUCUUUCAAACAAUCAGAUUGAUGGUAAGAUAGAAGUGCCAAUAGGCAAUGCUUUGGAGGUAUUAGAUGUUUCACAUAACUUAUUUAGUGGUGAGGUUCCCCUCUUCCUGUCUUCACAGUGCAAGAGGUUGAGAUAUCUAGACCUCUCCCACAAUCAUCUCACCGGAGAACUUCCAGUGGAUCUUCUUAAAAAUUGUACUAAUCUGCAACAAAUCUCUCUGGCCUACAACAGCUUCCAUGGCACGUCAUUUCCCUCUAUUCACUCCUUGCCAUCGCUGGAAUUUCUCGAUGCUAGCUUCAAUAACUUCACAGGUCCAGUUCCCGCAAUUCAUGAGAACCUCAAGCAUCUUAAUCUCAGCUCAAACAGUUUCAAUACAACCAGGGAAAACUUAUGUCCAUCGCUCAACUCCUCGAGGCUGGAGAGUCUGAUCCUGGUCAACAACAAGCUCACCGGAAGGGUAUUGGACAGUGUCUUGAAUUGCUCCAGCCUUAAGAUGUUGGAUUUGAGCUUCAACUUGUUAGCAGGAGAGAUUCCAAGCACUAUCUGCAAACAAGUUCCCAAGCUCGAGCAUUUCCUCGCGUGGGUAAACAACCUCGAAGGGCAACUUCCCCCAAACUUGGCCUCAUGCAGCAACCUCACCAAGAUCAUCCUCACUUUCAACAAUCUCAGUGGAAACAUUCCACCUGAGCUGUUAUCCAACACAAAGAGCCUCCAAUGGUUAAGUUUGAGUAAUAACAGAUUGAGUGGAGAGUUUCCUGAUUCAUUGGAGCAUGCAAAGGAGAUGCUAGUGCUUCAGUUGAGCAACAACAGCCUGCAGGGCAAGCUGCCCAGCAACAUGACCGUCCAGACAAUAAAUCUCCGCGGAAACAGCUUGAGCGGGAGGAUUCCAGCCUCUUUGAAUGGUUUCCAAGGCAGCAAACUUGCCAAACCCAACGUUGCGGGGACGAGCUUGAAGAUAGCCUCAGGGAUCAAGACAUGUGGGUGCAUGGACAGCAUUUUCAUGCUACAAGGAAUCUCUUUGGAAGAAAUGGAGAGUCGACUCACAGCCAAGAGUGGUGGCUGCAAAUGCUCCAUAAGUUUCCUUCCAGCAAGCUUUUAUGGUUUCUCCGCUUCCAGCCCUUCCUUCAUCGAUGUUUCAUUCAACAAAUUGGUGGGAGGCAUCCCUCGCGAGCUUGGGAGCAUGCAGGACGCCUCUUACAUCAGCCUUGCGCACAACUUCCUCUCGGGAACAAUCCCAGUGGAGCUCGGGGAUCUCAAGAACAUCAUAGGGAUGGAUUUGUCAUUCAAUGGUCUCCAAGGAAGCAUUCCAGGCUCGUUUUCCUCGCUCCAGUCCCUGACAGGGUUGAAUGUGUCUCACAACAACUUGUCCGGUCCGAUUCCACAGGGUGGCCAGCUUGCGACACUUGAUGCCAGUAGCUACGCAGGAAACGCCGGUCUUUGUGGCUUCCCUCUAGCGUCGUGCAUCACAUCGCCACCAACAGCGACAAAUCGUGCUGACCAUGGCUAUGGUGGAUUUGGAGCGGUUCUUGCGGUGAGCUUUGCAAUUGGGGUGGUGGUCUCAGUUAUCUGCUGCACAAUGGUAGUCACCAUUGAUAGUAAGAAACGCUUUGUGGAGAGAGCUUGCUAUGGAUGAUCGACACACCGAAAAGAAAAAAAUGCCCAGCCACGCUUAGUCAAACAAUUUUAAGCGUUUUUCCAUGUGUAUGUUACUUUAUAAGAAAAUCUUAUUCAACUUAAAUUUAAGAUUUGUAGGCCCGAGCCUAGGGCGGGCCUUCCAGAAAUUCUCGACGGCCUCCCGAAGGAGACACGAAGAGGGGGUUUGGAAAUAGUUUUCAACCAGCAAUUGACGCGUCUCGGUAAAACCUCAUAAACUGUGUCAUUGCCCCAAGCGCAAAGAUAAAACAAACCUCCAUCUUAGCUCGACUUAUAUACCCGAGGAGUGGCACGAUUUCAGUCCUUGGCUCGUGGGAUAGGGCUGGCUGGCGCAGCAUAUUCCUAGAACUGAUUGUCCCUAAAAGUAAAAAAUAUGCAUUUAUUCACUCGCUCAUGCUUCAUGGGCUAGAGUUUUCUCGGGGAGGAUCUCCUGGAAAAAUUUCUCGAGCUGCUCGUGGUAGAGCGCCGGAAAGCUCCGCAAAUGAUCUACGUGAGGAGAGAUCCGCAUGUCGAAGCACGAGACCUUGUAGCCGCUCUUUUUCUGCAAAUCCAUGAACUCUUCGACGUAGCUCGCUGGGAUGACUCGGUCGGCGCUGCUGUAGAUGUAGAGCUGCGGGCAUCGCGGCUGCUUGCUCGACAAAAUGGAGAUGAUUCUUGCAAGUCUCCUGGUUUCCACAGCAGAAAAGGAGAGCCGAGAUGUUAGAAACUAGCGCCGCAGGAAAAGAUCUAGCGAGGAAAGAGCACCUCUUACAGUUUGACAGCGGGAACCGCGAGUAGAACCGCGAAGAACUUCUCCAGGACUGCCAGGAGCAGAGUCUCGGACGCGCUCGGCUGCGCAAGGAUUGCUCGCUCGGCGUCGGUCAGUCCCGCCAGCGACUGCGUCGAGAAGCUUUGCUUCUUGAGAAAUGCUGUUGCGAACCCCGAGGCCCAGACCUUGCCAAAACGUAUCAGCUCGAUGUAAGAACACGACCAGGAUCACGUAAAACUUCGUCGGCUUACCUGGGGACUGAGCUCGGCAGCAGGCCCCGAAUCUACAACGCAUCCUUUUAUUCUGCUCGUGAGGUGCUGCUGCCCUUGCUGCUGGAGUUUCUCGAGUAGAGCUCCAUAGCUGUGAAGAAGGAAUCAAAUCAACACCAUUGCUUUGACAACUAGGAAAAAAAUAAGAAGACCACUUUACUAAGCUCUAGAAAAACCAUUAAAAAAAAAUAAAAAAAUAAAAACCUGACUGCUAGAGAAAACUUACUCUGUUGGGAACUUACAAGAACCAGCCGGUGUUGCUAAAGGUGUGGAACAGCACCGAUUUUUCCUUUCUUCCACCGCUCGCUAGCCACUGCUUGAUUUCCGCGUAGAGCAAAUCGACAUGCCUGUCGGCCUUCCCAAUGACGCCGAGGCUCAGCAAAUCCGGCAUUGGCAUCACGAAAGUCAUAGCACUGAUCCCUCUCGAGUUAUACCACUCGGCAUAUUUCUUCAAGUGCUUGUGUUGAGCACCCAGCCAUCCCAGGAGCACUACCACCAGAUCUCCCUCUCCAUCUCCAAGCCAAGAAUCUCCAUCGCGGGCAUUUUUCCUGUCCGAGACCCCGUGCAUGACGAUGCUUUGCUUCGCGGGAUCCGGAGACACGCGAUCUGUGACGAACGGGAGCUGGAAUUUGAUCCUCGCCGGCCAGAAGACAUGGAAAUGCGCCCGCUGCGAGCUGGAGCACGAGAUUAUCGGCCGCGUUUGGCGACGCGGAGGAGCUACACGAGCCACACUGGCGACACUGGAUCUCGUGGAGCGCGCAUUCUUGCCUGUGAUGCGGCCCGCAGCAGGACGCGCCAGGGAGUGAAGAUUCAUGGCGGAGACCGGCCGAUCGUGUGGCAGAAGCCCUAAACCCUGUUUUAGGGUUCUUCGUUUAACAUCCUUUUAGGGUUCUUCGCUAACAUCAAGAGACAUAAAAGAAUCCUUUGCACAUUAUUGUGUGAGGCAACCAAACCCAUCACCGAGGAAGAAGAAAGAAGAAUCGCCACAGCCCAGCCAGCAUUGUCCUGUGACGCCCCAAAUCUCUACAAACCCCUGCCCCCCUUCUUCUUCGUUCUUCCUCGUUUCCUCCUCUAUAGACCCGCCCAAUUCUGCGAAUCAAGAGAAAUCGUAAACCUCUGGAAUCGCCACCGGGAACUGGUCGAUGCAAUCCGCCCAGGGCCCCUUCUCGCUCGCCUUGAUCGUCCGCAGCGCCCGCCACACGGCGCUGUUACACUUGAACCCGCUCCCAAACGCGAUCUGCCACACGCGGUUCCCCUUCCUCAUCCUCCCCUUGGCCUCGAUGUACGCGAGCUCGUACCAGAUCGAGGAGCUGGACGUGUUCCCGAAUCGGUACAGCGUCAUCCGCGACGCCUCGACGUGCUCCGCGGUGAGCUGCAAGUUCUUCUCCAGCUCGUCGAUCACCGCGCGGCCGCCCGCGUGGAUGCAAAAGUGGUGGAACGCCAGCCGGAAGUCCGGGAUGUAUGGCUUCACCGCGCGCUUGAACACCUUGCGCGCCACCAGGAAGCUGAAGAAGAUGAUCUGCUCGGACAGUGGCAGCACCAGCGGCCCCAUGGUCGUGAUGUUGGUCUUGAGCGCCUGCCCGGCGAUGGCCAUGAGAUCUUUGGAGAGCGACACGCCCAUCUUGGCGUUCUCGUCCUCCUCCUGGUAGACGCAGCGGAAGGACUUGUCGUCGGCGCCCUUGUGCGUCCGCACGGUGUGGAGGAGCUCGUACUUGGCGCGGCGGCGGUCGGAUCGUCGGUUGCUGAGCAGCAUCGCGGCGCCGCCGACGCGGAAGAGGCAAUUCGGGAUGAGCAUCGAGCGGCGGUUGCCGAAGUACCAGUUCUGGGUGAUGUUCUCGGUGCUCACCACGAUGGCGUAGUCGUUGCCGUGGACCUGGAGCAUGUCCUUGGCGAGGUCGAUGGCGAUCACUCCCGCGCUGCAGCCCAUCCCUCCCAGGUUGUAGGAGCGGAUGUUGCCGCGCAUCUUGUACUUGUUGACGAUCAUCGCCGAGAGCGAUGGCGUGGGGUUGAAGAGGCUGCAGUUGACGACCAGGAUCCCGACGUCCUUGGGCUUGACGCCCGUCUUGUGGAAGAGCUCGUCCAGCGCGCUAAACAUGACGGUCUCGGCCUCCUGCCGCGCCGCAUCCAUGGAUGGUCGCGGCGGGAGGUAGUGCAUCGCGGGCGGGAGCGCGGUCUGCUCGCCCAGCCCGGAGCGCUCCAGGAUCCGGCGCUGGAACUCGAGGCUCUUGUCGUCGAAGCUCCCCGACAGCUUGGAGUGCUCCAUGAAGGAGGCGAAGGGGACGCGGAUGUUGGGCGAUGGCUUGUGGCACGCGUAGUCGACGAGGAAGACGCUGCGCGGGCGGGACAUGAAGUAGACGGUGGCGGCGAAGACGAGCAGCGCGGAGCACGUCAUGACGCUGACGAGGUUGAAUUUGAGGUGGAUCCAGAGCUGGUGGAUGUCCUCGGGGCCCAGGCGGCCGACCUCGAUCGCUACCCCGAGCAUCAGCGGGACGAGCGUGAGCGUGAUGAGAUGCGUCACCAGGUAGUGGUAGCCGAGCUUGACGUACUUGAGGUUGACGCUCUGGAGGAAAUCCGGGAGCGGCAGCCGCCGUGAUCCUCUGGACCCGCUGCUCCUCCGCAGCAGCCUCCCGCCUCCAUCGCCAAUUCCGAUUCCUGAGGAGGCGCUAGCAGUGGCAGCGGCGCUGGGUCUCUCGUCGGCCAUCGUUGGGAUUGUUUCGCGAGCUCCUGUGAUACUCUGUUCGACAAAAGCCACGAACUUCUUGUUCUUGGAUGAGAUUUUUUAGGGUUCUUGGGAGUGAGGGAGGAGAGAGGCGUGGGUGGCGAUGGCGAUGGCGAUGGCGAUGGCGCGACGCAUUUAAGGCAAAGCGAGGCCGGAUCAGUAGUGCAGUUAAAGGGGCAUUCAAUGGCAACACCAACCUCCACUUUCGGUGAAGAGAGACAGGGCAAAACACACGAAAGAGUUUGGUGCUUUUGUUUUUCUUUCUUGGGCGAUCGCUCGCUCGCUCUCUCGCUCGCUGGAGAGGAGGAUUGGGGAGGAAUCUCGUUUUCUAGCUGGGAUUAGGAUGGUGUGUUUGGGAUGCUCUCGAGUUCCUAGUGAAAUGAAAAAGGUGGUACAUUGGUGGUAAUAAGUCGCUCCUUCAUUGACUUGGCCGCUCCUCAUUUAUAUCGGGUCUCUUGCGUACAGUGGAUGGAGAGAAGAAGAGAGCAGCGCAGCAGCCAUGCCAGCCAGCAGCAACAGGGGAGCAGCCGAUUGGUGUGAAUUUGAUUCAAGUCGGUUGAAUUUACAACCCUCUGGCAGGAUUCAAUCGUGUUCUUCAAUGUCCCUCAUGGAGCAAAUGCCACCGGUCAAGCAUUUGCCUCGCCGCUAGAUUCCUCGUGAACAUAGUCAAACCGAGAACCUUCAUGGUCAGUCCCAAGUCAGUCAACCCAUCAGUCAACGCGGUCGCUGAUUGCUUCGAUGAGUCAACGACGUCAGUAACAUGAAAGUACACAUGCUGACUGUAGUGUACAUCUGGACUCUGGACGCUACGUCGGCGGCAAAAUGGCUGACGCGUAUCACUUCCAAGUCACAAGUCAACCAUCAGUCAACGCACAAUGACCCCCAUUGGAUACGAAACAAUAUCCAGUCAACAUGCUGACUGUAGUGUACAUCUGGACGCCACGUAAUCGGGCACGCGUCACUUCCUCAGGUUCCAGUGGAGCCGCUCGCGCACGCUACACAGGAAGUGGUGCGUUGCCUCUUCCAGGGACGCUGUUGGGACGGGCCAGGGGGCCAUUUGGCAUAUAAGCUGGUCGCCCGGGGAGAGCUCCACUCGGUCCUUGCCAUCAAACGAAGCCCAGGCGUUUUGGAGCGGGACCUGGACUUUGAGCGUCACGUAGCCGGGAAGGAUGAGAGGCCUGAAGGACAGCGAAUGCGGGCAUAUCGGCGUGAAGAGAAUUGCUGGAACCUGAAAGACAUGGAGCUGUAAGUCGUUUGGAUCCAGAAAAACAAAGAAAAAAGAGGUUUUUGCAAAGCUUACGUGAGGAUGGACCAUCGAGCCUCCGGCCGCGAGAGAGUACGCCGUGCUGCCCGACGUUGUGGAGAGGAUGAGGCCGUCCCCUUGCACCGAGGUGAGGAAGACGUUGUCGCAGUAGCACUCGAGGUUCGUGAGGCACGACGACAUGCCCCGGUCGAUGGAGACUUCGUUGAGAACCAGGUGCAUCUCCGACGCCGAGCUCUCCCCGUUCCUUACAAUCUGGCACUGCAUGCGGUGCCGCAGCGUGAUGCAAACCGGGCCCUUCAUCACGUACUCGAGGCAUUCCUUGUAGCGCUCGCUUUCUGUGAGUUUAGUUAAGUCGAGCAAAAAGAAGAUAAAACUUGGAAGGAUACGGAAUGCCGUCAUGAAUCCCAAGGAGCCCAUUGAAAACGAAACCAUGGGAGGGACGGGUCCUUUGAACAGCGACGCAGCCUGCAAAAGAAGCAUAAGUCCGCCAAUAAAAAAGCGCUGGUUGUGCUUACCCACAGUACAGUGCCAUCUCCACCCAGAGUGAUAACAAGGUCGACUUUGGUGUGUAAGAACAAUAACUCUUCUUCUGCAAAAAGCAGACGGCACAGUGAAGAAAAUGCUUCGCUGCAAAGCUUUCAGCCUACCAGAAUCCCAUGUUUGUACAUAAGUGCAGUCCGAGCUUUCGUCAAGCUCAUCCUUCACGCGCUGCUCAACGAACACAGUGAUAUUUUUCACCUCCUUCAGCCACCUGAAGGCUAGUUUUACAUCACGAACAAAAAUAAAUAAAUUUAUUUUCCAGGUACCUGAUCAUUUUCUUGCACAGCUCUUGCACAGCAGAAGAAUUUGGUCGGGUAAAAAUACAGACCGCUCGCGGUGUGGAUUCCCAAACAAGUAUAAUCUGCAAUGUAGAGAAACCAAGGCAUCAGAUUCCACAGACGAUAGUCUCAAUUGCAAUCAACCUGUUUGUUGCUACUGGUAACGGCACUAAUGUUCCCAGAAUCGUAGGACACAAUGUCAUGCUUGUGCCUUCUAUGCCUGUCACCAUUAUAACUCCAUAGCAAUUUGAAGGAAGCCUGGAGUCGAAACAAUGUAAAACUUUUUCUUUUCCGAAAAACUGCGUACCUUGUGGCUUGGAUGUUGAACAAGAAAUUUACAAGACCCGUUUUCUUCCUCUAAAACAUCAUGUUGCGGUGUUUCAAGCUCACAGCCUUUGACUUCCCGGUUCUCGACACCUGAGAACUUCCAUUAGCAACGAGCCAAGAAAUUUAAUUUAAAGUGUACAAGUACCUGGAAGAUCUUUUUCCUGUAGAAGACUCUCAUAUUUUCUUUUCCACUCGGCCGCCUCCAAUUGAAGCUGAACGUUACGCUCGGCAACUCUUUUCAUCGCAUUCGACACAGCUGUUCAAACAGAAAACGAGAGAAAAGAUGUCAGCAGUUCUCACGAAAUUCAAGGAGAUCUCACGCACUCUGCAAACUGUUGCUAAAGUCGAAAAUUUGACGACUAGCGUCCAUGGCGGAUUUCUCCGGGCGCGCAAACGUUUGCCAUCCCUCGAUGCCAAAUCUGAGAUUUUCCUGCUCCAUCCGCGACAGGCUCGCCGACGAAUCCUCCCUCCCCAGCGAGCACUGCCAAAAAUCGAGAAUGCAAGUUAGAACAAUGCCGAGCACUGGAAAAGGAAAAGGGAAAUCACGAGCGCAAACCUGAGUGAUCAGCUGGCAGCAUGGCGCCAGAGGCCCGGCAUCGGGGGCGCCGGACGCGCCUUGCGCCAUGAAAAACCUAAUCGCCACAACGCGAACACGCAGCACGAGCCCGCUUUCACCAUCCACACAACACACACACUCAAAGCGUCUCCCGCGAAUAUCCUCUUUUUACACGUCUCGGUUCGAAUCCACCUGUCAGCAGCCCAUGGUUCAAAUCUCCUUACAAGCAAAAUUCCUCUAGGUCGUUGAGAAUAUUCUCCGUCUCCCUCCUCCAGAGCCCAGCGCCCGCGCAGGCGCCCUUGACGAGCACCGGCGUCGCCAGAUGCCCGAGCUCCAGCGCACGCGCCGCGCAGGACGCCGCGCGGCGCACAUCGCCGUGGAUCUUGCAGGAAUUGAGGAAUGUGAUCCAGGUGAGGGCGUCGGGCUCCCAGGGCAUGAGAUCCAUCACCUCCUCGGCGCGGGGGAGCUGCCCGACUCGCCCGAACAGAUCCACCAGGCACCGGUAGUGCUGUGCCUCCGGAUCAAUGCCGCGAUCGCGCCACAUUGACGCGAAGAACUCGCAGCCCUCGUCCACGAGCCCGCCCUGGCUGCACGCCGUGAGGAGAUUGACGAAUGUGACGCCAUUAGGGCUCACGCCGUGGAGAUCCAUCGCCCGCGACAGUGCCGCCGCCUCGCCGCGGUGCCCGCUCUGGGCAUUUGCCGCCACCAUCGCCGUCCAUGACACCACAUUGCGCUCCGGGAGAGAAUCGAACACCCGACGUGCGUCCCCGACGCUCCCGUACCUUCCGUACGCGGAGAUGAGGGCGUUACCGACCGUACAGUCGCCCGCGAGGUCGCAGUCACGGGCGCAAGCGUGGCACAGCCGCGCCUCUGCCACGUUGCGACACGCGUCCAGUACGGCGCAGAAGGUGACGCGGUUUGGCCGAAGUCCCUGGGCGUCCAUUGUACGGAAGAGGAGCAUCGCCCGCGACAGCUUCCCAUUCAGGGCAUAUGCGCCGAUCAUGGAGUUAACCGUAACAAGGUCGCGCGACGGCAUAUUCCUGUACGUUUGCUCAGCGUCUUCCACGCUCCCGGUGCGUCCGUACGCGUCGAUCAUGGCGUUCCAGGAGAAGAGAUUCGAGACGGGCAUCUUUCGCAGGAGCUCCUUUCCCUCGAGAAUAUGCCCGUUCUGGGCAUAUGCUACUAGCAUCGCGGUCCACGAUACCACAUCCCUUUCCGCCAGGGAAUCGAAUACCAUCUUGGCCCGCGGAAUUUCACUGCAUCUGGUGUACAUUACGAGGAUUCCGGUGGCGAUCCGGACGUCCGAUUGGAACCCACAUUCCGCGACCUUGGAAUGCAUCUCCCGUGCCAGGCCGGGGCAAUCGAUGCACGACAGAAUGCCCACGAAUGUCACGCUGGACGGCUUGUGGCCGUCCGAUUCCAUGAGCCUUAGAACGCCCACGGCGUCGCGGGACCGCCCAGCCCUGGCGUAGAACGCGAUCAUCGCGUUCCAGGCGACGUGAUCGCGCUCCUCGCGCAUCUCAUCGAAGAUCCGCCGCGCCUCAUCGAGGUGUCCGCUCUGGGCGAGGGCGACGAGCAUGAGAUUGGAGGAAAAGAGAUUGGGCACCGGGAUCGCGCGGAACGCCCGCCGCGCAUCGUCCACGCUGCCGCACUUGCCAUACAUCUGGACGAGGAGAUUGGCGAGGAAUGUGCUCCUGUCCAGCCCGAUUCGAGCCAGGUGAUCGUGGAGCCACUUCCCCUCGUCCAGCGCGCCCAGCUCCCCGCAUCGCCGCAGGAGCGUGGCGUACGCCUCCGGAUCGAGCGCAGAGCCAGCGAGAUUCUCCCUGCUGAACGCGCCCCUCAAGACGAUCGAGCUCUCGGCGGCGAGGAUCCCCCUUCUCGCCGCGCUCAUCCACCAAGACCCAGAUUUCGAAUCCAAAGAGCCCGCGAGAAUCCAACGGCCGAGAGCGCAGUAAGCCCUAGCAUUUAAAUCCGGCCGAUCGUGGACGUUGAAGCGCCAACGGCUAGGAUGCGCUGGGCAUGGCGGUGUUUCCCAGGCUCAUGUGAAGGGCGCGCCCUGGCGGCAGCGCAGGCUGGGCAUUUGCAUCGAUCGCUGGGCGGCAGAGUGUAGCAUAGCUAGGGCGAGAGGUUUUUAGGUCUGGGCGAUCCAGGGGGCGUCGGCGAGGACAGCAAUGCAGGCGCCGCAAAUGGGCCCUUACACGGGCACUAUGAUCACGACUGAGCUCAUCCAGAAGGUAUGUGUGUACUUUGGGGGCUAAUCUUCGCGAUUUUGCGCGAAAUUUUGGUUCCAGUGAGUCUAAGCGCUGCUCCAAGAUUUUCUUUUGUUCUUACAUUUCUUUAAGGUUAUUGAUUAAGGCUUACUUUGUUUUCAUUGUUUAGUACCUGGACGAGAACAAGCAACUUAUCCUGGCGAUUCUAGACAACCAGAACCUGGGAAAGCUUCAUGAAUGCGCAGCGUAAGCGUCGUCUCCUUUUUUUCUUCCAAAGCUUGAUUGUUUUUUCUAUGGAUUGGAAAUUCAGCUACCAGUCCAAGCUGCAACAAAAUCUUAUGUACUUGGCUGCCAUCGCCGACGCGCAACCUCAAAACCCUCUUCCGGGUGCUCAGGUGUGUUUUUCACUUGCAUUCUUUUUCUUUUCUCAAGAGAAAAACGUCUCGCAUUCUUUUCUUGUGUUUGUCUGAAAAGUCUUCUUUUGUUUCCGUAGAGCUUUUUCUUACUUGCAUUGUUUUUCCUUCUAUGCAUUCCUUGUUAUGUCAUCAAAGCAGACUCCAGAAAAGGUUUUGCAUUUAACUUUGGCAUUGUUUUCUUGUGGUUGCCUGAAAAGUCUUCUUUUGUGCCCGUAGAACUUGCUGAUAUGAUUUCUUCUCUUCACUCCCUCUCUCCAGGUUGCGCAAGCCUCCAUGCUCCAAGCAACUCCUCAGUUCAUGCAGCAGUCCCCGCAGCAAAUGGGCAUGAUGGAUCAGCAGCAGCAGCAGCAGCAGCAGCAGCAGCAGCAAAACUACACACAAAUCCAAAUGGCUGCGCUCCAUGCUCUCCAAGCCCAGCAGCGCCAGCAGCAGUUCCAGCAGCAGCAGAGGCUCGUCACCGCGGCGGCAUCGGCAGGGAUGCUCUUGCAGCCUCCACACUCGGAGCUAGAGCUGGGUGGCGCUGGAAACGUGAGCAACGGAAACAACAUGACGGGCAUGGGAGGAGCUUUUCCAGACUACGCUGGCAACGCUGCCAAUGGAGAUCUCAUGAGGAACUCUGCCGCAGCCGCCGUGAGCGGCGACGCCUCCAAAGGGACCAGCGCCGUCGCCGGAUCGUCUGGAGCUACUGCUGCCGAUGGUACGGGAGACGACGCUGGCUCUACGUUUCUCAAGUCAUCAGAGGAAGAGUAAAAAACACCAGGGAGGAUUGCAGUAGAAUCAGCUACAUUCCUUUCUUUAACUAUGUUUCUUUUCUUUGCUGUUAGUAGGAUCAUUUGUCACACUUCGGUCUCACACUUGUGCUAGAUCUUUUCUCCCGGCGUUACACCCGUUAUAAUACUUCCCACUCAUUGCCGAUCUACAUAUAAGUAAAGAGAAAUGAGGCCUGCCAAGCUCAAGUCUCGUUUUUCAAAGUUUUUUCCAUGGAUUCCAAGCUGAUGAUCGUUCUACUUCUUGUAGCAGCCACAGCGGCAAACAGUCUCCAACUUCAAAGAAAGGUGGUCGAGAAAAACUCUUGCUUCCUCAAACUCUCUUGCUUGUCUCCGCAGAUAUCUUUCUUCGUUCGUCGCAACUGGGAGAACAAUCCACCGCCAUCUUCAUCCCCUCUAUCUUCCGGCAUGGGGAUCGUCCGUGUCAUCGAUAGCCCGAUCCAUGGCACUCGAAGCAACUCGUCCGAGUGUAUAGGCCGGCUCCAAGGAUACUCCAUCACGGACGCUGCUGGAUCGUCGACUCUCUUCUAUCUUACGAGCUCCUUUAAUGGAAGUACCAUCAAAGGGAACCUCAUCUACCAAGGCCGAGCCUCGAGCAGCGCCAGAACACCCGAAGUUUCGGUCACUGGCACCUCCGGAGUCUUUCGCUUUGCCAAGGGAUACUCGCUCCUCUACAUGGACAGCCAAGGGAUGCCCGAGAGCGUUGAGAGCUACCUCUACAAGACACUGUAGGCGCUGCAAAUCUCUUGAAUAAAUCUGCUAUGUGAAUUUCGUCGUCGUCAUCUUCCUGGAACAAGGAAGAACAAAACCCAGGCGUUAUACAAAAACCUUCGCGUGCUAGCUACCAAGGCCGUAGAGGUGUGCGUGUGUUAGAGGAGCUUUAAGCUGCCGGUUACUUCGUCCACGAGUUCGUCGGGACCUGAGAGAACAAGAUACAAUCAAGUUAUCUGCAAGCUUUGAGAUGGAUCAAAACAUACCGAGCACGGUCAGGACUGUUCUCGAGUCUGCGUGAAAAUAGUAGCAUCGUAAGCUGGAGUCGCCACUUGGGAAAAAAAAAGCAUUCAAAAUAAAAAACUCACUUGCGGCAAUUUGCGUUCUGCCAGCAUCGAUGGUUAUGUGGGUCGGCAACUUCAGACUCUUGGCUCUACUCUGUAAGGGAGACAACAAAAAAAUCUGUAAGCUUACUCGGAAGAACUAUUAGUACCUGAAGAAACAAUAGCUCCUCUUCGCUCUCCGUCUUGGUGACGACUUUGACGCUUCCACACAUCUCCCACCUUGCAAAGGAAAGAAAACCAGUAAGAAUCCAGUAAGAACAAACAAGACAGGCAAAUGCAUACCUUUGAAGAGCUUUCGGAGCUCUAAAGAACAGCUUUUUGUACAAACCGAGACUAGAAUGGCUGCCAAAGAAAUGGAAAGGAAAGUUAACUUAGACCAAUCAAAUAAAUCUCUCACCUGCAUUGAGCGGCAAUCUUCCCUUUCCCCAUCUUCAAAUCAUUCCUCACGACCAAGACCUGGAAAGAAUCCACACUGAUCUUCAGCGGCAUUGCCCCCAAUCCAAGCGAAUCAUCCCGCUCACCAUCUUGAAAUCCUCGUGCUUGUCCGCCAGAACCUCGACUGGAUGUAGAUCCUUCUUGCCAUCGUACUGGUGAACCGUGGAUCUCUUCCCCGCCUGCUUCUUCAUCCUGGGAGGCAAGAGAGCCGGCCAGCGUCGGCACAGAUAGUAGCCAGCGAUCAAGCAGCCCGUCCCGACAAGGACAAGCUGCAAAUACCCGUGGGAGCACGCGUCCACCGCGUCCUCCAUCAUCGCCUUGUUAGGGCGCCCGCCAUAGCCAUGUAGCCCUAUGAAUACGUGGCAGCUAUGACAUGGGAAAGAAAAAACCCUCCAUUUAUGACAUGAGUCAACCUGAAAAGCACCUAAAACGAGAGGUAAAGCGGAAAAAAACUCCAGAAUCCCCUCCAAUGUCAUAACGGGUGUGAGCUAAAACCCCUCCAUGUCAUAAGGGAUCCCUCCUAGCAAAAGAGAGAAAACUACUCCUCCAUCUCGCCCUCCUCGCCAUAGUCCUCGCCCUCUUCCUCGGCCUUGGCGUCCUGGUACUGCUGGUACUCGGACACCAGAUCGUUCAUGUUGUUCUCGGCCUCAGUGAACUCGAGCUCGUCCAUCCCCUCGCCCGUGUACCAAUGCAGGAACGCCUUGCGCCGGAACAUCACUGUGAACUGGUCCCCGACCCUCUUGAACAUCUCCUGGAUCGACGUUGAGUUCCCGAUGAAGGUGGCGGAGAUCUUGAGCCCCUUGGGCGGGAUGUCGCACACGCUCGACUUGACGUUGUUUGGGAUCCACUCCACGAAGUAGGAUGUGUUCUUGUUCUGGACGUUGAGGAUCUGCUCGUCCACCUCCUUGGUGCUCAUCCGCCCGCGGUACAUGGCUGAGGCGGUGAGGUAGCGGCCAUGCCGGGGAUCCGCUGCACACAUCAUGUUCUUGGCAUCCCACAUCUGCUGCGUCAGCUCCGGCACGGUGAGCGCGCGGUACAGCUGCGAGCCGCGCGACGUGAGCGGCGCGAAGCCCACCAUGAAGAAGUGGAGGCGCGGGAAGGGCACGAGGUUGACGGCGAGCUUGCGGAGGUCGGCGUUCAGCUGGCCCGGGAAGCGGAGGCAGCACGUAAUGCCGCUCAUGGUGGCCGAGAUGAGGUGAUUGAGAUCACCGACUGUGAGAUCAUGGUCACGAGAAACAAAGCGUGAGAGAAUUGUUGGUAUGAUACCCUUUGGAUGUUUCGAAGGACUCGUAACCUCCAAUGUACGUACCAUGAUCGACAAGAAAAGAAGGAAACUUAACCAGCUUGGAGAAAGGUGACAGACCAUGCCUCCAGUCAUGACUUUGAAACAUAGCAGAGACCGCCCAACUUGGACAAAGGUGACGGACAAUGGAAACCAAGCAGUCGACGAUGACUUACAGGUUGGCGUGGUGAGCUUGAGGGUUCUGAAGCAGAUGUCGUAGAGGGCCUCGUUGUCGAGGACCAUGCACUCGUCCGAGUUCUCCACCAGCUGAUGAACCGACAGCGUCGCGUUGUAAGGCUCCACGACCGUGUCGGACACCUUGGGCGAUGGGAAGACGGAGAAUGUGAGCAUCAUCUUGUCCGGAUACUCCUCCCGGAUCUUGGAGAUGAGCAGCGUCCCCAUGCCGGAUCCCGUGCCCCCUCCCAAGGAGUGGCAUAUUUGAAAUCCUGUGCGAAGAUCGAUCGAUCAAUGAAAACUUCCAAGAAACAAGAGUUUGGGGGGAUGUUCUAUAUGUACUACGUACCUUGCAAGCAGUCGCAACUCUCGGCCUCCUUGCGGACAAUGUCGAGCACCGAAUCGAUGAGCUCGGCUCCCUCGGUGUAGUGACCCUUUGCCCAGUUGUUCCCGGCGCCGGUCUGGCCAAACACGAAGUUGUCCGGGCGGAAGAUCUGGCCGUAAGGCCCCGAGCGCACGCUGUCCAUGGUUCCGGGCUCCAGGUCCAUGAGAACCGCGCGGGGAACGUAGCGUCCGCCGGUGGCCUCGUUGUAGUAGACGUUGAUCCGCUCGAGCUGGAGGUCCGAGUCGCCGCGGUAAGUUCCGGUGGGAUCGAUGCCGUGCUCGUCGCACGAAACCUCCCAAAACUUUGCUCCGAUCUGGUUGCCGCACUGCCCGCCUUGGAUGUGGCAAAUCUCUCUCAUGGCUGCUGCGCUGCCUGGUAGUCUGGAAUCGAUCGAGCGAGGGAGGAAGAGAGAAGAUUCUCGUCGCCGUUGUCCUGGAGAGAAGAAAGAGCCCGAGUUUUUUUACGCGGCCGCGCGAACCAUUCACACCAUUUCCACGGAACAGACACAACCGGUGAGUCGUCCAUGUCACCAAGAAUAUUCUCGCUUUACAAUGAACUCGAUCAAAAACUAGACAGAUCUUGGAUCGCUAUGGUUUUUUUUUUCUUCUCCUUCUUCUUCGUUUGUCCUUGCGAAGAUCAAGUGUCAGCAUUCAUGAACAGUGAUUCAAAGAUUUGUGGUCUUCAGUAGAAAAGAAAAGGAAGGUUUCACACGUUUUUUAGGGAGCUACUUUGUGGAGCAUGCCAAAAUGGCGUGAAGGGCGCUCUCCUGGAUCUGGGGAAGGAAGAAACAAGCUCGCCCAGAUCAAACUCCAGCGCCCAACACAUUCUCUCGCAAGUUUGCUAGGCCUAGUGCUAGAUCAUAGAUUUUGUUUUCCAAGUUUCUUGGGAUCCAGAUGGGUCGAGGACUCCAGCGGAGCCGAUGGAUGGGACUUUGCGUGGGAAUGUGGAUGCAAGCCUGCGGCGGGAUCUCGUACGCCUUCUCGCUCUACUCGGCGGAUUUGAAGCAAGUCAUGGGCUACAACCAGGAGCUCAUCGACGCGCUGGGCACCGCCAAGGAUAUCGGAGGGAAUGUAGGCAUUGUUUCUGGGCUCUUGAUCGACAGGACCUCCGCGUCUUUCGUGCUCCUCGUCGGUGGCUUGAUGCACUUGAGUUUCUACUCGAUGGUAUGGAGAUUUUCUUUUGUGUUCUUACGUGUUUGUCUCACGUGUUUUUUUGUUUUUUUUUGUUUUUUUUGUUUUUUGUUUUCUCUCCUGGUUGGAACUUGGAUCUUCCAAUCCAGCUCUACCUUGCAUCUACAAAGCAGAUCUUUCCUACACACUGGCAGGUAUGAUUCCAAGCGAAAGUUUGGAUGAAUUUUUAAAGGACUUGCUUGGAAGUUCUUCUUUUGUCUGUUAGAUGUGUGGGAUUAUCAUGCUCGGCACUAACGGAGCAACAUGGUUUAACACGGCUGUUCUCGUCACCUGGUAAUGCUUUCUUUCUUCUUUUGAUUUUGAGCAUAGGGAGUGCGUUUCGCUAAAAACUUGGUGGCAGCAUGAGAAACUUUCCGUCGGACAGGGGCGUGGUUGUAGGCCUUCUCAAAGGAUUUAUUGGCCUCAGUGGUGCCAUCUUCACUCAGGUUUGAAGAGCAUUCUCGUUCUCAGUCUUAAGUUUUUGUUUCGUUCUUCGUUUUUGCUAAAACGCAGGUCUAUACUGCGAUUUAUGCACCACACACUGGCCCGUUUCUUCUAUUCUGUGCGACGUUUCCACCAAUGGUAGCACUCGUUUCCAUGCUUUAUAUUCGUCCUAUCGAUCCUCCAAGGAACAAGGACGAAGCAGACGAUCACAAGUUUACAAUGCUGUACGUAAGUUUAGGCCAGUGGUAAGCUACACUUUGUCUGGAACGAUUCUUAGGCUUUCUUGUUUAUCCCAGAUCACCGGUCUCGUAUUGGCAUUCUACCUUAUGUGCAUCAUAUUGCUCCAGGUAACCUUCGUCACUUUCGAGUUAGUGGACCUCUGUUUCUCUUCUUCCAGGAUUUCUUUGUCGUCAGGAAAGCAGCCAGCCAGUUUUUCAUGUUUAUCAUGCUUCUCAUUCUUUUGGUUCCUGGUGCCAUCUCUGUAAGCAUACAGUGCUCCCCGCUUUGCUGUUUUCUAAGCUUUCUAGCCUCUGCGUUCUUCCAGCUUCAUCCUGCGGAUGGAAGACAGAAGAUCCAUCCUGAUACUGAUAGUCUGUUCGUCAAGACACCGAAAAUGCUGAAGAACUCGAUAAGAAAUCCGAUAACUGUAGACGUUGGACACAGGAUAGCGGAGCUCCGGAAUGAUGGAGCUGUAAAUAAUGGCGGCUUGCCCGGCUCUCCUUCAAAGUCCAAACUCCGCCUUGGUAGCGAUUAUACCCUGACUCAAGCUGUGAGGACGGAGGACUUCUGGUACGUAAUUCUCUCCUUCGUUUAUCUUCUCUAUUCACGUAGUGUUUUUGAGCUCGUUUCUUUCGUAGGCUUUUGUUCUUUGCAAUGGGAUGUGGCACUGGCAGUGGUCUCACUGCAAUAAACAACUUAGCGCAGGUGUGUAUGAGCUAUCUUCACACCCACAAAGUUUUGCUCGCAGAACACUACUAAAGCCUCCUGAUACUUUCAGAUGGCCGAGUCUCUGAAUUCCAAGAGCAUAGGAGCAUUUGUCGCGCUGGUUAGCGUGUGGAACUUCCUCGGCAGGCUAGGAUCGGGGUAAUGCUUUUAGAUUCCUUUGUCUCCUCUGAUUGUUCUGCCGCAGUUAUAUUUCCGAGUUCUUCAUGAAACGGUCCGGAACUCCAAGGCCGGUUUUUCUUCUGAUUGUUCAAGCGCUCAUGGGAUCUGCGCAUUUGCUCUUUGCUUCCUCGGGUAAAAAGUUUCUUCUCGAUUCUCAUUGUGAUUCUCAUGGGUUAUGAAAACGCAGUUCCUUCGUUGCUCUACGGAGCAUCGAUACUCGUCGGGCUUGCUCACGGAGCUCACUGGACUCUGAUGGUGGCAACAUCCUCAGAGCUCUUUGGCCUCAAGAACUUUGGGGCUCUCUACAACACACUCAGGUACAAAAAGCUUCCUUUCGUUUCCUCUUUGUAACAAAAACCAAGAGUUUCUCUCGCAGCAUUUCUUCCACUAUUGGAUCCUACGUACUAUCUGUGAAGUUGGCUGGCUAUUUGUAUGACCAACAAGCUGCUGCUGCCAACGUGAGGAGGUGCAAGGGACCACAGUGCUUUCGGCUCACGUUUCUUAUCAUGGCCUUAGUCUGCUUGAUCGGUUGCGUUGCUCUUGUCCGCCUUGUGUCCCGGACGAGGCUAGUCUACCGUGAUAUUCAGAGGCUCAAGGCAGCUAGCCGAUGAUCAGAGCUUGGAAUUCAGAACUGCGGCAUACAUUCUUCCAAAUGCAAGAUGUCUAAAGCCUGGCGUAUGAAAACAUACCUGGGUUCUAAUUCAUUGCUUUUUCCUACGGGGACCAUGUACUGUGAAAGGCCAUUGGGUCACCAGUAAGACUAUUGUUUUUUACAUGAAAAAAUAUGUAUUGGAAUGGAAACUAUAUUUUUGGGCAUGGUACCAAGUAAGUAUUGGGAGAAUAACCAGAGUGAACAAGCUGGUCAGGAUUUCUAAUGAGGGUCUACUCAAUUGACUUAGAUGCUGUAGUUCAAGAUAUUGAGUUUAGUUCUUAGUUCAAAACAAAUAAAUGUUAAAUUAUAUUUAUAAGGUUUAUAUAUAUUACCAUGCUUAUAUAUUACAAACUAUUUAUUUGGGACUAAUCCAUUUUUAUAUAAGUAGGGGUCUAAACCCCAAUUAAUAUAUUUAUUCUCAUAUCUCAAGCAUUUAUCAUUGCAAAUUGUGCUUGCAAGCCAAAGUUUUGCUUAGUGUUUGGGAUUGUGGUUUCUUUUCUUCUCUAGAUAUGUUAUACCUUUUUACAAGAUUUAGGAUUGUAACUAUUAUAUAUGUUCUUUCUUUCUACUAUACCAUGUUGUUGUUAAUUGAAGUGUGUAUUAUUAAAGGUUGUAGUUGAUGCCUUAUAAUUGUCAUUUAGUCCUACUGUUAUGUCCUUUUGAGAUUAAGUUUUUGGUAUUGUGAGGCAUGAUCAUGUUAAUGCUACUCCUUAGUGUUUUGCCAUUUUCAACUUUGUAGGACGUAAUUACAUAACUUGUUAUAUUUUCAAUAUCUUGUAUCUCCCAUUAAGGUGGAGUGUGAUUGUGAUAUUAAUUAAAGAGUUAUGGAUAAUGUAGUCUAGUUUUUGGAGGGUGUUUCGAGGAUUGAGUUUAUGGAAAGAUAAUGUUUACAAGUUUGAAUAAAUUUUUGUUGACAAGGAGUUUGAUUAUUUUAAAAAUAGCUUUAAAGAUAAGUUAAAGAAUUCAGUUAAUCUUUUAUUUUACCAUUUUAUUUUUGGAGGAGGGAGUAGAGGGGACAAACAAGAAUCCACCCCUGAUAAUAGAGUGAAAAUGAAUGGAUAUAAUAGUGAAAUGAGGACAAAUGGCAUGAAUUGUCGAGUGAAAACAAACAUAGCAAAUCUAGAUGAAAUAUUUAUAUAAACGACUAAAUUUUCUAUUUUACUUUAGUCCUUUAAUUAUACUUUUGACCACUUGAGGAAAUCUCACUCACAACCUUCAUAAAUUCUCAUCCUAAUAUAAGAAAAGAUACUUGCUAAAACUAUCAACUUUACAUUUGGUCCAAGUGUUUUAUGUGUCUAUAUCCCAUUUCAAACACUCUAAAGGUACCACUGAUGUACUAGCCUAUUACAUUAAAGCCACAUGAUAUCUAUUAUUAUUAUCUCAUUAGUAAUCUAAAAGAACCAUACCACAUAUCUAUUUUUCUGAGAUUGGAUUGUAAUUCCAUUUAUGACAUGUAAUUAAUGCUUACUUCUUAGCAUCCUUAAGAUGUCCUAAAACUUAGAGAAACACGACUACCUCCACUAUCCUUUCUUUGAUCCCCGCAAGUAUUUACCAACAUGUUUAUUGGGUCAGGGCUUGUAAGCCCAUCUAUCAAGUUUUCGGACUUCUUCACUAUGUAACCAUAUAUUUAGUUACAAAAUAAAAAGAACAUUCCUUUCCUUUCCACAAUUAAGGACUUUGAGACAACAUUUCAAAAUACUACAAUCAAACGCAAAUCUUAUAUAUACUCCCACCACCUUUAACCACUAAAGUUUUUUAGUCACAUGACUAGAAAAAGGUUUUAAUGAGCCACAGAAGGUAUUCAAAUAAGUAGUGUUACCCAUAUUUACAUCAACUAUUUGAUCUAUUGAAGGAGCUAGAGUCAAUUUCUAAACACUUUACCAAGUCACCCCAUUUGUCUAUUCAUGUUUACUAUAACUUUUGGAUUCCCCAAUGUUCAUAUUAUCACCCACUAUAAGAGUAUAACCUUUUUUGAUCACACUAAUUCUCUUAAAGUAUUCGCCUUAUUAUCCUGUAGGUUUACUAAACCCCCUAGGGUUUGGAAGACAAUUACAACUAGCUGGGAGACCGAUUCAUCAAAGCCACAAAAGAUUGUCGCGUUUGAGCCUAGAACUCAAGUUGAGCAGCAAAUCAUACAGCAGCAAAUGGGUGAUUCCCUACUAGAAGUGGUUGUUGCCAUUAUUCUGCACAUCACGUGGCACUAUGGGAUGAACUUCCAUUAGAUAUAUUUAGCUUUAGAUAUGUCUACCCUUCAUACAAUCUAAAUACCCCACCACAAUGAACCAUGGACACUGUACUUUCAAAAUGCCGGAAAUGUGUGGCUUGGUUGAUAAACUUUUGUCAAUGCCAUUGGCAUACCUUUUGACUCCACUUUAGGACUUAAGGAUUUAUGUUUUAUAAUCCAACUCUAACAUAAUAAAGCUAAAUAAAUACAACAAUUGAAGCAAAACAUAAAUAGCAAAGUAAGGACAAAUAGAAAUGAUAUUUCAAAAUUUCUUUUCCUUUAUGAAGGGGAUAAAAAGGAAUAUAAAAGAUGAACAGAAUGAAUUUAACUUCCUAUAUGCAAUGUUAAACAAAGAUAAAGUGAAUCCAAAUUAAUGUGGGUCAAAAGUUGAGCAAAGGUAAGAUACAAAGAUAGGUUUUGUUAUUAGUCAUAAGUCCGAGUUAAUAAUAAUCUCAAAUGGUGGCCAAUCAUCAAAUUUAAAGAUAAGAUAUAUCAUUUGAUGUUUGAGUGGCUUUGGUUCAAAAUUAUCACUUUGAGAUUAGUUCAAGCAUUUGACAAUUGUAUACAAAGUUGUAGCUAGUAAUGUCUUGAUGAACAGACUAUCAGCGUCAAGAUGAACCUUCUGUCUCCCAUCUGCAGUAUGAAACUGGAAGAACGCAGAGUUUAACAAACUUAGAAAACAGCAAAGGGGUGAGAAUUGUACGCUUACAGAGAUGACACCAGAAACCAAAAGAAUGAGAAGCAUGAUAAACAUGAAGGCUGGCUGCUUUCCUCACGGCAAAGAAAUCCUGGAAGAAGAAGAGAAAGGAAGCUCUAUAUACUAGAAAGAGACGAAGGCUACCUGGAGCAAUAUGAUGCACAUAAGAUAGAAUGCAAAUACGAGACUGGUGAUCUCAGAUAAACAAGAAAAGCAUAAGAAUCGAUCCAGACAAAGUGUAGCUUACCACUGGCCUAAACUUACGUACAGCGUUGUAAAUUUGUCAUCGUCUGAUUCGUCCUUGUUCCUUAGGACGAAUGAAAAGCAUGGAAACGAGUGCCACCCAUGGUGGAAACAUCGCACAGACAAGAAGGGAUGGGCGUGUGUGGUGCAUACACCGCAGUAUAGACCUGAGUUUUAGAAAACAACGAAGAACGAAAACAGAAAGUUAAGAAUGAGAGUACCUUGAGUGAAGAUGGCACCACUGAGGCCAAUAAAUUCUUGGAGAAGGCCUACAACCACGCCUCUAUCCGAAGGAAAGUUUCUCAUGCUGCCACCAAGUUUUUAGAAAAACGCUCUCGCUAUGAUCAAUCAAUCUUAUGGAAGAUCCAACCAAGAGAAAAAAAACUUACAAAAAAAAGUGAGACAAACACGAAGAACACAAAGGAAAAGAAAAGCAUCGUGUGGAAACUUAACUGCAUCAAGCCACCGACGAGGAGCACGAAAGGCGCACAGUAGAAACAAUGCCUACACCCCCUCCUGCUUCAAAUCGCCCAAGCAGAGCGAGAAGGCGUACGAGAUCCCGCCGCAAGCUUGCAUCCACAUUCCCAGUGACGCAAAAUCGGCUGCGGUGGAUCCCAAGUAACUUCGAGAAAAUCCAUCUAGUUCCCGAGAGACCUGCGCGUUUCGGCCCAUAGAGUUGCGAAAGAGAUCUCUAGGAAAACAUUUGUAAAGAAAAAAUAAAUCUCUUCUGUUUUGGACAAGCUUCUGCCCUAGGAACUUAGCGAUGGAGCUGCGGUGCGUGCUAGACAACGUCCAGGGGCUCGUGGAUUCGCUCAGCGCUGUGCGAUGGAAGAAACAACAGGUGAUCGAUAGUUUCCUCCCCUCCUUAUGGCUAUCUAGAAAGCUUUCUUCUUUUCACUCCACAGGACGCUAUUUGCGAGGUCUCGGAGCAUGGACUGGUGAUCAUCGUAGAAGAAUGGGGAUGCCUCCAAGCUCGAGUUUACUACAGGAAAGAAGUAAGCGCCCCAAAGUUCAUUGUUUCUCAUUGUUGCAUCAAUGUUCUUCUGGGUUUUACAAGCUCUUUGUUUCAUACGAGUAUUCGGCAGAGUCGAGGCCGAGAUUUGGCGUCAGCCUUGGCUUGCUCGUUGACACCUUGAGCACAUUUUCUUCGACUGGUACCACUGGGCUUGAGCUCUCGUAUCCCGGAUCGGACAUGCAGCUUCUCCUCAAGUAAGUUAACUGGUUCGAUCGAGUGAAAGGCUUUUUGAUCCAUUCUCAGGCUCACGGACGCUGAUAAUACGUGCAUCUACGCUGAAAUUCGAACCAAAGUCACGGACACUGUCCCGAAAGAGUACAGUGUAGACGGCGAUGGUGGUCGCCGAGCAGUCUUUGCAGUGAAGGUUAUCACUGAUCGCACCUCCUUUUUGUUUUUGAUAACUUCCUUGUUGUGUAGUCGGCGGCGUUGAAAGAAGCCAUUGACGAUCUCGAGUGGCCGGGCUCGAGCAUUUCCAUCACCAUAUCUCCCGAUCCAGCCGGGGUGAUUCUCAGAGGGGAAGGCCAUCAUGGAGACCUGCAGGUCGAUCUCUUAUCCUCACUUUCAGUUCCCCACUAAGACUUCUUUUGUACUUGUUUAAGAUCGACUUCCCGUAUGAUGCUCACAACGAGCUCUUUGCCGCGUUCCAGUGCCAAAGCGAAGUAAGCUACAGGUAUGCUUUCCAGAUUUCAGUAGAUCUCGCAAAGUUGCUACGAUGUUGCCCAGCUACAAGUAUAAGUUUCUGCGAGCAACCACAGCCAACGUUCCAAACAGCGUGACGAAAGACAACAGGGGCAGCAAGCUAACCAUUGGAGCCGGGGGCCUCCUCAAAGUCCAGCAUUUAAUCUCCCUCCGCCAGGCGCAGCAGCACAAUAUGGAUCCAAAUCCCACACAGCAGGGCCGCGUUUCUUACGUCGAGUUCUACCUAAUGCCAGACGAAGAAGCGUGAGUACAGCGCUUGAUUAAUAAGAAGAUCAUAAAGGAAAAUAUUUUGUUUUAAGGGUAAAGUACUACUUAGUAUAGGUUUAAUAACUAUUGAUGAACACUAAAGUGUAGGCUUAGAGUCACUUUCUCACAUCGCCGUACCUGCAGGAUUCCAAAAAGGCUCGUCUUGCGGAGCGCAUGGAUGAGCUGAGAGCAUUAACUCGCACCACCAAAGACACCAAAGAUAAGGGCUUUUCGCCUCUAAACACCAUCCUGAUUCACUCUCUCUCCGCUUACCUGGUGAUGACGUGGCAUCAGGCUUUUUUUUUGUUUUAUCUCCAGCGCACUCCCUCUCCCGUCCGUCGCCGCUGCGCACUCCCGCCCGCGGCUAUCGCCCGCCCGCGGCUCCCGCCCGCCCGCUCGCCCUCACGGCUCCUACCCGCAGUCCCACCCGCCCCCGCACGCCCAGCGUGCGCCCUAAAAUUACUUCCACGUGGCCACAGCCCCAACACUUAGCCAAAUUUCAAUCAGCGCGCCUUAGUCCGCCGGUUUCUUUUAUGAUCAAGCAUGGCAGCAGCACAUCAAUUUCCAGAGGUAAGCAAUCAAUUCAACUUCAUAUUGAUUCAAGAAAAUUAUUUAGGAUCCCCCAUGGCUUGAUGAGGUGCAAGAAUUCCAUGAAAAGGAUUAUUUUUGUGCAGAUGAUUUAGAUUGGAAUUUGUCUAAAUCAAAUGAAAUUAUACCUCCUAUUGUGUAUAUAUUACAGAAGGAUGUGAACAAGUUUCUAGAUGGUGAGAGGAUAAGGGGUGAUAAAGUGGAUUUCUGGCGAUUUUCUAACAAAAAUUGUGAUCCUGGAGAUUUGAAACGACUCAAAAACACAAGCUUUUUAUCAUUAAUCAGGUAUAUCUUUUUAACAAAAUAUAAUUACUAACUUCUUGAUACAGGUAUUAGUGUGAAUAUGGAAAACAAGAUGCUUGUGAAACAUGAAAAGUUCAUAUCAAUAUUUAAAAUUUAUUUACCUCUAUACUAGUCCUUAGCUGAAUUUCUUGUUGAUGCUGUAUAUUUUGAUGCAUAUCUUCUUGCUUAAUAUUCAUAUAUAUUAGUAUAUAAAAUAUGCUAGUUUACCUCUAACGUAAUUUCCAACUGAAUUUCUUGUUCAUGAUAAACAUUUUGAUGAAUGUUUUCCUGCUCAAAUUUUUAUAAGUAUUUCAAAAGUUUAAUUAAUAAGUGAAUUACCUCUGUCAUAGCUUCCAAGUCAAGUGCUUCAAAAUCUUGAUGAUGAUAAAAUAAAUCAUCUGAUCCAGGUUCUAAGAUUGUAUGUGAUUGUGAUGGUUGAACCUUAUAACUAGUUGUAGUCCAAUCAGUUUUUUCUCCUUGUUUUAACAUAAUAAUUUUUGCUUGAUACUUGCAAAAGUUUCCUUUGGUUGCCUAUGGACAAUUACACUAAGUCGAAAAAGCCCAAUCACUGUGUCCUUCACUUCCAACAACAAGAUACUAUAUAAUUGGAUCUGAAGAAGAUUGUACAUAGGAUUUGUGAGGAUUGUCCUUAUCGAAUUUUAUUUGAGAGUUGUUAAUAUUUCUUGCUUUAACAAUUGCACCAUCGAUUAGUUUUUCAUAUGCAUCGUUUCGGAUAAAACCAUGAUCUUUGCAAUAACUAGUAAACCAGUAUCUUGCAUGAACCUUAGUAGUAAGUUGAUGAAUUGCCCAAUCCAUCCUUCGAUUGCGAGCAUGUUUUUUUUCGGAUGAGAGUAUAGCUUUCAUAUUUGUAUGGAAUGCCUCAAUCAAACUAUUUGUCUCUUUGUUAGCAUGAGGGAAAUUUCGAGCAUCAACAACCCAUAUAUCUAUCAAAUAUAAAUUAAAUUAAAUUAUAAAAAUUAAAAUAUUAAUUCACUUACCAACUUUGUCCUUCCAUUCAUCUUAAAAAUACUUGAUAAAGGCUACUUCAUUUUGAAAAUCCACUUCAAAAUGUUCAAUAAGUUGUUUAAUCUCAGCUCGCAUAAUAUUAUCAUCAUGAAAAAAUGCAUGAAUUGAAUGAUAUAUAAUAUCUCUGAGACGUUUAUUUCCAUCCUAAUAUCCCAAGAUUUCAUCUUACAAAUAAUAGGUUUGAGCCAAUUCCUCCUCACAUGCCAAAUAUAUAAUAAAAUUUGACAAUCAAAUGUAGCUCUAUAUAGAAGAAAAUAAUUAAAUUAUUUCAUAUCAAAUUAAUUACUUUAUAGCAUUAAUCUCUGUUUCAGCAUCAUCAAUCAUUAUUGCCCGUGGUUUCUAAUUUGGCAUGUGUUCUAAAACUCAUUUUUUAAGAGCUAUCAUCUAAUUCUUCAUAUAUUCUCCUUUCUCACUAAAAGUUAAAACCGAUGCAAUUGAAAUACCAUUUCCAUGAUAAUCAAAUUACCUUGUAGUGAUUAGUUCCAAAAGUUGCAUCAAGACUCAAUAAAUUAUUAUUUGAAAAUUCCACCAUCUUUUGUAGUUGCCAAGUUGUCUGAAUCUCAAUAGUAAAACAAUCUUUACCUCGAUCACCUUCCUGAUAGAAAAAUAUUUUCUCGGGAUUUGUGUUUUUCCAAAUACGUACACUCUAUGCGUCAUUCUCAUGUAAUCGAUAAGUUGAAAGCAAAUACUUCCUAUGCAGAUUAUUGAUAUCCUGCAUAGUUAGAAAAUCAUCUCAAUGAAGAGGUUCACCAGCUGACUUGUUCCUUCCCACAAUCUGUAUAUGCUCAUUAUAAAUCUGAUUUGAUGUGAAAUCCUACUAAAUCAUAUGAAUCACCCAAUGUCAAAUAUCUAUUGAAAGCUUCUGAGGAAAUAAUGACUUUCCUCCAGUCGGAUCAAGUUGACCAUGAUAAAGAAUCCCAUUCUUAUCACAAUGCUCUCUAUGAUAAUACGUAAUCUGCAUAUAAUCAGGCCAUUUGUAAAACUGUUUGACCAAAAAAUUGCAAAGGCAACCUCACUUAUUAGAACUUUGACCUGAUCUACUUCUAAGUCUUGACUUUGGUGUAAAUUCAGCAAUCAUAAUAGAGGAUGUUUCACGAGCAUCUUGUUUUCCAUAUUCACACCAAUACCUGUAUCAAGAAGUUAAUAAUUAUAUUUUGUUAAAAAGAUAUACUUGAUUAAUGAAAAAAAUCUUGUGUUUUUGGGUUGUUUCAAAUCUCCAGGAUCACAAUUUUUGUUAGAAAAUUGCCAAAAAUGCACUAUAUCACCCCUUUUCCUCUCACCAUCUAGAAACUUGUUCACAUCCUUCUGUAAUAUAUACACAAUAGGAAGUAUAGUUUCAUUUGAUUUAGACAAAUUCCAAUCUAAAUCAUCUGCACAAAAAUAAUCCAUUUCAUGGAAUUCUUGCACCUUAUCAAGCCAUGGGGGAUCCUAAAUAAUUUUCUUGAAUCAAUAUGAAGUUGAAUUGAUUGCUUACCUCUGGAAAUUGAUGUGCUGCUGCCAUGCUUGAUCAUAAAAGAAACAAAAACGUUUUUAGGUCAAUUAUGGGGCAACCAUCUGGCGGACUAGGAUUGAAAUUUGGCUAAGUGUUGGGGCUGUGGCCACGUGGAAGUAAUUUUAGGGCGCACACUGGGCAUGUGGGGGCAGGUGGGAGUGCGGGUGGGAGCCGUGAGGGCAAGUGGGCGGGCAGGAGCCGCGGGCGGGCGAUAGCCGCAGGCGGGAGUGUGCAGUGGCGACAGACGGGAGAGGGAGUGUGCUGGAGAUAAAACAAAAAGAAGGCCUAAUGCCACAUCAUCACCAGGUAAGCGAAGAGAGAGUGAAUCAGGAUGGUGUUUAACGGGAGGCCAAAGAUAAGAUCCAUGGAGCACCCAUUGAUUAUAUAGUUUAAUUUUUUUACAUUCAUUACUAAUGACAUAUUUCUAAAACUAUGUCCAUUGUACAAAUACAUAUGGAGCAAAUUUAAUAAGAUUGUUGUUUUGCGAGCAAAACUUUGUGGCGGUGUGAUAGUACUUCAGAUGUAAUCGUUGUCACACAGAUACUCGGGCAUGGUACUCGUCCUGAUACUUCCAGAUGGCCGAGUGUCUCAAGGGUUAGCGUGUGGAACUUCCUAUGAUCGGGGUAUUGCUUUUCGAUUCCAUUUUCUCCGAAUGUUCUGCCACAGUUAUAUAUUCGAGUUCUUCAUGAAACGGUCCCGAACUUCAAGGCCGGUUUUUCUUCUGAUUGUUCAAGCUCUUAUGGGAUCUGCAUGUUUGCUUUAUUUAUGAUUAUGCAGAUCUAUGGAACGUUCCUCAAAUUCACUGUCAGUACCAUGCUCUAGCAACAUGGCUAGAUAUACCACCCACUGCUGGACUGGGAGUAACACAAGCAAACUCUCCAACUUGCGCUAACGAGAUUCCAUGGACAGUUCAAUGAGUUUGCUUCUAAACACUUCUACUAUGUGAACAUUAGAAGUGUGGUUUAAUCCACAUGGCAGUUGAUGUGGAGUGUAGCAAAAGAUCUUUAUAAAGUGGUAAGAUGAGAAUUAUAAUACUAUAUUAAAUUUGUUCUAACAAAUCAAGGUGAAUAAGAACAUUUUUAUUGUGCCAUGAGGACUGAUUGCAUGCAGCCACACACCAUUCCUAUUUAGGGUGAGAAUAUAAAUACAUGUGGUUGUUCUAAUAAAUCUCAUUUUCAAGGCGAAUAAGAACAAUCUGCUAAUGAUUGUGUGAGCACUGAGAGCAUGUGGCCACACACCAUUUACAUUGUUGGAUGAGAAUGAAAAGAUGCAGCAAGAGUCUUUAUAACGCAAGUCUAAUGUUAUUUUAUAACUUUCAUUUUUAAGGUGAACAAGAAGAAUAUAAAGAGUGAGCCAUAUGUCAUUCCUAUCUAAGGUCAGAAUUAUAAAUACCAAGUUCUUAAUAUAUUUCAUUUUUAAAGUGAACAAGAAUAAUUUAUUGAUGAUAGUGAGGAGUGAGAGAUAGCAACAAAUAUGUGAUUGAACAUGGAAAUAUUAUAUAUUUACAUAUGUGUAGAUUUAUUUUUUUAUUUUGAGUUGCAUGCAAAAGUAUUAUACACACAAACACUUUUCGAUUAUUAUAUAAGCAAUCAAAAUAUAAUUGUGUGUAUAAUAUUUUUAAUUAGGGUAUAACACCUUAAACCAUACAAGACAAAUAUCACAUCAUCUUAGAUAACAUGAUGUCACCACAAAUAUAGUAAAGGUAUUUUAUUUAUCUCAUUCUUAUGUCAUUGAGUACAAAUUUAUGAUCUCCCAAUUGUGAUCAUCUCUCUCCUCCUUUGUGUGCAUUCCAUUUGCCUCUCAUUUCAUGUGUCUAUGCUUUAUUUCUCAUAGUUUGGAAGCAUAUUUCAAUUGUAAAAUAUACUAAUGUAAGCAUGGUGGUUCAAUUGGCAAGUAUUUCUUAUUUCUCACAGCUUGUUUACGUUUCAACACCUUAAUCUAGGUAAUAAUUGAUUGACCUAGAAGUGAGUGCAAUCAAUUAGAAUGUAGAGGUGAGUGCAAAACCAUUUUAUGAAUGUUUAGGGUGUUGAGUGUUGUGACUUUCUGUGAGCAAGUGGAUCUUACUGUAGCCACAGUAAUUUCUCGCAUUCCUAGUUUGUUGUUCUUGGCCUUAAUGUGCAAACACGCCCAAUAGUAAUGCUAAAAAUAUAUAUGUAUGAUAAGUGUUUUCGAUUACCCUUACCAAGGAGAGUGCCUCAAGUACACAAUGGUGGCAAACUCAACUUGCAACAUCUAAAAAACAUGUAAAAUCCAAUUUGUGCACACAUAUAUGUUUUUUUUUCAUAUAUUUUGCAACCUUACACAUUUUUUUAUCAGGUCACCCACCCCAGGUACACCUCUCUCCCCCCAAAACUACCAUCACAAAUUUCUUGCUAUAGUGGCUAUGGACUAUUUUUAUUUAAUCUUGAAAUAAUAUAAGUUGAGAACUAUAUAUUAAGUGUUAAUUUUCUAACAAAACUUAUUUUUAAGAUAAAGAAAGCACUAAUAGUCCUUAAGGGUCAUAAUAUAUAACCUAAAGAAGUGAAACCACUUAGGCACACUAGUGUAUUUUUCUUGAAUUGAUGUACGAAAUCUAAAUUUUAUCAAUGACAAUAUGGUGUUUGGCCAUAUGCAAUAUGUGGCAUGUGUCUAUAAAGAAGAAAUACAUAUUUUCAUAAUUGUUUGUGUCAUGAAAAUUGAAGUCAUGCCAUACAAAAAAUGCAGGGAGAUCAUUUAUAAACAGACGUGAGAACUAUAUAUUUACUAGGACCUGAUUGUUUUGAAACAAUUCAUUAAAAAAAAGAACAAAAAAAUGGCAGUGGGCAUACACCAGCCUAACUAGUGAACACUUCUUUCAUUGUGCUCUCAGUAGUAAUUUCGAGUCAAAUGUCUUACUUUGGAGUGUGGCUACUUGGCAAAUGCCAACAUCACACAGUGGAAAAGGGGGGAGAGGGAAGUGAUCACAGGAGUUAGUAGAUGGUAAAAAAACUUUAUAUUGUAGAAUAGCUUGCUGUGCCACACAUUGGUAAGUUGUAUCCUUAGCAUUCAAACAACUUGUUAGGAGCCAAAAGCUCUUCUAGCCACCUUUUCAGUGCUUCUGUCCAUGUGUUCUCCACUUUCUGCCUCUAAUCAAAUAAGUAGAAAGGAUCUCAAGGCAUUCAUUUUCUUAAGUAAUGGCCACACAAAGAGAUAGAAAAGCUUGUGAAGAAUCCAUGAUUGCAAAUAAUCCAACUUCGCACCAAAGCACCAAAGAGAAAGAGGGAAUGGGGCCAGGGAAGACAAUAUUGAUAUCUCUGAAGUUCUAUGUAAUAAUUUGUUGUGUGAUGCAUGUAGCAAUGUUUGGUUUGUUUAAUAUAAGUGUUAUUCCUAUUUAAUAUUUUUGAAUAAUCUAAUUGAUCAAUAAUUAUAAACAUGUUGUCAGUUUAUAGAUCAAUGGUAGAACAUACUAGGAAGUGUUUAAGAAAAUUUACAAAUUAUAAAUAUAAGAUUAAUAUAAAUGAAUAAUAGCAGUUAGAUGAUAUAAUAUCCUAGAAUAUCUAAGCAUAUUCUAAGUAUAAUGGUAAUUACACAUAUGAAAUUCAUAAACACAUAGUGUGACAUUAUUCACCUCAUAACACAAUUAUUACAUCUUACAUAGUAUUGAUUUAGAUAUUUACAUAAACAUGAAUUCCAUCUUAUGUGUAUAUCCAAAGGUUCUAUUUUAGUGGUAAAUUUUAUGUAAAUAAGAUGGCCAUGCCAGACAAAAAUGAAGUUACAAAAGUCCUGGUGUUAUGCAAUAACUUCAUAAUGAGGUGUGAUGCUUGCAAAUCCUGUGGUAUAAGAUUGGUAAUGAAAUAAACAAAUCAAAAUAUUAACACCAAUAUUGAGUUCAUUAAGGCAUGGAAGUGUGCACAUAUGCUAUCAAGUGACUGACCUGGCACUUCUGGCUCUGAUCCUUUGCACCAUCUUCCAGACCAUCAAAUACACAGGCUUCCUGGUUCCAUGGAUGACUAAUCGCAUCAUUCCAAUCCAUAAGGAUGUUCCUGACAAACUACUGCUGUAUUAUGGUCAGCAGCAUUUUCUCGAAACUCUACGCACACAUGCUGGAGAGAAGACUCUCCCAGUGGGCAGAACAACUCCAAAUGCAUACUUGGGGGCAAGCCGGAUUUCGGCCCCGACAUGGUGUCGAUCAUCUGGUCACGUUGCGGACAAUUAUGGACUGAAGGCGGACAAGGCAAGGCCUACUAAUCUGUUGUUUGUGGACUUCACCAAAGCUUUUGAUACAGUCCCCUGCAAUCUUCUAUUUGAGCACCUCUGGGAUCUGAACACACCUCCGUCUCUCAUCACAGCUAUCUGCCACCUCUAGAUUCAAGCCGAAUUGGUAGGAUGAGCAGCGAUCAAUUCCUGGAAAAGUGCCUCAAUGGUAAAUUCCGAACAAAGUCGGAGACAAGGGGGCAGCCCUGCUUAACCCUGUUUGAUGUCCAGAUGGCGGGACUGUUUCUCCAAUUACUUCUCUACACCAAUGACUUGCUCUUGCUUGCCAACUCCCAUGGGCAAAUGCAAAGACAGCUUGAUGCGCUCGCGAGAUUUUGCACACCAAUACAGCUCUCCAUAAAACUUAGUAAGACACAGCUGCUGGCUUCGGGAAGGGAUGGAAGACCCUCCCCCCUCUGUUCUAUUCAGGCCAUGAGGUCAUGAGAGCAACACAAUACAAGUACCUUGGCAUCACCCUGCAUCAGCAAUGUUAAGACCCCCAACAAGAUCAAAACUAGAAAAUGCUAAAGACAAAGAGAAAAGCUAGUGGAAACAAAGAAGAAGCCUUAGACUGGUGUUGAUUCAGAUUGUGGAGAAAUGGAACAAGGCUAACCUAUAUAUACUAUAGGUUGAUGAAGCUCCACCACUCUUGGAUCGAGGACGGCUUAAAUAUAGCUGAGGUUGAGGAGGCGCCACAUCAAUAUCAGGAAUGUGGCUCGAGACUCAGGAAUCGGGAAGUGUCUUGAGAGUCAGGAAUAGGGAAGUGUCUCGAGAGUCAGGAAUAGGGAAGUGUCUCGAGAAUCAGGAAUGUGGUCUGCAGGUCAGGAAUCCGGCAUCAAGAAUUGGGGGAUUCCUGACAGCACCCCCUCCUCAAGAACGAGUGGAACGAGGAUGUGAAUGAGAACGAUGAGGAGGAUGAGAUGAGCGGCGAGGGAUGGGAGAUGGAGAAAAAGAAUGAGGACUGGGACAACUAGGAUAGCGGCGGUGGAAGUCCUGAACAAGGUCAGGAGAAUGAAUCAGGUUGUCUGCAGGUUCCCAAGUGCGUUCUUCAGGCCCGUAACCCUUCCAGUCGACCAGAUAGUAGAGUUUAGACCGUGAAAUCUUGGAAUCAAGGAUGUCCUGAACCUCGUACUCAGACCCAUCCUCGAGCUGCACUGGUGGAGGUGGAGGAAUGACCCGAUUGGGAAUAGGACUGGGAAUAUAAGGCUCAAGGAGAGAGGAAUGAAAAACGGGGUGAAUUUGAUAUGAGGAGGGAAGUGCAAGGCGAUAAGUGACAGGAUUAAUGAUGGCAGUGAUAGGGAAAGGACUGAGGCGUUUGAAAUCAAGUUUUGGACAGGGCCUGGUGGUGGAGAUAUUUCGCCUGAGGAGCCAAACUUUAUCCCCGAUAUUGUAAGGGGGACAAUCCUGACGAUGGACAUUGGCAAAUGUUUUGUGAGAUUCCUGAGCACGAUGGAGGUGGAAGGAGAUGGAGUUGUGGAUUUCUUGGAGGUUGGAGACAAAUGCCUCAGAGCGGGGAUUUGAAUGAGAGGAUUCGGAUGGAGAAGGAAGUGAGAGAUUGAAUCGGGGAUUUCGGCCAGAGUUUGCAAAGAAGGGGGAAAUUUGAAGAGAGGAGUGAAUAGAGUUGUUAUAGGAGAACUCAGCAAGGGGAAGGAUAUCGAACCAGUUAUCUUGAUGAUAGUUGAUGAAGCACCUUAAGAAUUGUUCCAACGUCUGAAUCGUUCGCUCGGACUGCCCAUCAGUUUGAGGAUGAUACGCCGAAGAGAGGUUGGCCUUCACUCCAAGCAGCUGCAAAAACCGUUGCCAAAAAUGAGAGAUGAACUGAGGCCCCCGAUCCGAAACCACAUCUGUAGGAAUCCCAUGAAGUCGGAAAAUUUCCCUGAAUACCAGUUUUGCCAUGUCCUCGCCCGAAAACUCCUUGGUACAUGGCAAGAAGUGCGCCAUCUUUGUGAAGCGAUCCACCACGACUAAAAUGCUGUUGAAGCCUCCAGAACUCGGAAGAUCACUCAAGAAAUCCAUGGAGAUGGAUUCCCAAGGACCUGAAGGGACUGGAAGGGAACGAAGUAAACCUGAAGGAAGGUGGCGAGGUACCUUAUUCCGGGCGCAAGUGUCACAGGAGGUAACAAAAGCUUUGAUGUAGUCGUCUAUGUGAGGCCACCAAAAGUCCCGUGCAACUAGCUCAUAGGUUUUCGCAAUGCCGAAGUGACCAGCAGUCGGGCUAUCGUGGCACGCCAUUAGGACCAACCUUCGAGCAUCACCUUCAGGAACAUAAAGCUGCUCCCCACGGUAUAAUAAGCCAUCUAAGAACUCGAACUCGUCAAAUCGCCGGCAGUCGGGAGUCACAGGGUGUCCAGCCUGAAGAUGGGGGAAAAUGUCGCUGGCGAGAUCAGUGGAUUGAAGAUCGUUUCUGAUGGCAUCCAUCAAGGAGGAGUCCUGAGGGGCCAGGGAAAUUGCCAUAACUUGAAGCCGAUCAGGACCGAGGAUAAUUUGAUCCUGUUGAUCGAAGGCAGGAUUACCAGGCCUGAGACUGAGAUAGGAGCGCCUUGAAAGAGCAUCAGGAAGGCCUUGAAGCUUUCCAGGUCUGUACUUGAUAACAAAGUCAAACCGACUCAGGAAUUGUGCCCACCUUGCUUGACGACGGCUUAAAACUCGGGAAGUGGCGAAGUACUCGAGAUUUUUGUGAUCCAUCCAGACUGUUGUUUGAUGGCCCGCCCCCUCCAAGAAACGGCGCCACUCUCCAAAGGAAUCCACGAUGGCAAGGAGCUCCUUGUCGUGGAUUUCGUAAUUGAUCUCCGCAGGCUGGAAUUUCCGAGAAUGGAAAGCGACCGGAUGAAGUUCUUGAUCCGCUCCGAGUUGAGACAGCACAGCACCGAUGGCAAAGUCGGAGGCAUCAGCCUCGAUGAAGAAAGGUUGUGAGGAAUCAGCAUGGAUCAACACGGGAGCAGAACUAAAGGCUGCCUUGAGUGUGUCGAAGGCGUGCUGGGCAGCAGUAGACCAAGAGAAGGGAACAUCCUUGCGAGUGAGAUGCGUGAGAGGAAGGACAAUGUCAGAGUAGUGAUCAAUGAAUUUGCGGUAGAAGUUGGCGAAGCCAAGGAAAACCUGAACGUCUGACAUUGAUUGUGGAGGCUCUCACUCGAGAAUAGUCUUGACUUUGGCAGGAUCCAUCGUGAUACCCUCAGGAGUGACAAUGUACCCAAGGAACUCCACAGACUGCUGAUCGAAGGAACAUUUCUUAAGCUUCGCGUAUAGGCCGUGUUCUCGCAGCUUCGCCAGCACCUUGCGUACAUGUUCGUCGUGCUCCUCCUGAGUUCUUGAGUAGAUGAGGAUGUCAUCGAGGUAGACGAUCACCAUCUGAUCAAGAAACUCCCAAAAGACAUCGUUCGCCAUGUGUUGGAAAACUGCGGGAGCAUUUGUCAAGCCAAAUGGCAUGACAGUGUACUCGAAGUGGCCAUAGCGGGUUCGGAACGCAGUCUUCCAUUCAUCACCAGGCCGGAUCCAGAUCAGGUUGUAUGCGCCACGGAGGUCAAUCUUGGUGAAGAAGCGGGCACCGCCGAGGCGUUCCAACAGGUCCAAGAUCAGGGGCAGCGGAUAACGGUUCCGAACAGUCACCUUGUUCAAACCUCGGUAAUCGAUGACUAACCGCAAACUCCCAUCCUUCUUCUUGACAAAGAAGACAGGCACUCCAGCCGGGGACUGCGAAUGCUGAAUGAACCCCGAGGCAAGGUUCUCAUCCACGUACUCUUUGAGGGUUUUAAGCUCGGACGGGGAUAACCCGUAGAUAGGCCCCCAUGGAGGCGACGCUCCUUCCUGUAAAUCAAUGGGAUAGUCAUAAGGCCGAUGAGCA
rnacentral:lncRNA from 1 species